rnacentral:lncRNA from 1 species
UUUUUUUUUUUUUGUCUUUUGGUGAAGCAUGCAAGUCAGUUUUUUACUUUUCAGAACUUAUAUUUUCAAGGCUAUUUUAUUUUGCUGCAAUCUGGAUCACCAAGCAGAUCUCACAAAAUCCAAGUCCCAAAGCCAACUUUGUAUUUUUGUGACUUUUAGGUGAUGUGAAUAUUCAGUGAAGAAGCUCAUGUGUUCAGUGCGAGGUUUUAGGAUCUCAGUUGUUUUUAUUUAAUUUGUGUUCAAGAUCCUUUUACUGUGCGGUGUUCUUGCACAUGCUUUGUGAUACAAAGUUGGUUACUUGUUUGCUUUCCCAAUCUAAUCCUUACAAUUUCUUCAAGGACUUCAAUUCAAGUCUCAUUCCAUUCACUUUUAGUACUUUUCAAGUUAAUUCUGGCCAAAUGGAGUUUUGCAAAUCUUCUUCACUUCAAGUAAUUACAAUAAAGGUAGCACACUAAGAUUAGCAGAAGAAGUUAAAAGGAGAUCUUCUAGACUCUGAUAGGGGAUAAAUUGUUUAUUGCCGCAGAUUCUGCACUUGAAAAGGUGUGCUUUAUAUUUUAACACUAUGUUUUGGCCUUUUCUUUCUUCAUUUUAGUCUGAUCCUGUUCCCUUGAUUUCCUCUGUAGAAAAAAGCAGAUGCAUUGAGAGCAUUGUUAUUGAUCAAUCAUCUGGGUGUUAAAGGUUGAAUUUUUCUACCUCAGUUUUUCUUUGUUCUUUUUGUUUUUGGGUUUGUGUGGUUCUUUACUCAGCUUAGUGAGCUUACCUUUCAUGUCAUCAUAUGGAUUAAAAUCUGGUGAUUCACUCGCAAAUUUUAGCAGAAGUUGAAUAUUCGAUCAGUUUGUUGAUAACUUGAAUACUUGGAUGUUGAAGGUGUUUAAAUAUCUGAACUAGUAUUCAUUCAGAUCCACCUUACAUCAUUUUCUCUUUCUUUGCUUACUCUUCUCUAUUUCCUCAUUUAUUCCUGAUUUUUGUAGACUCAUUCCUGAUUUUUGUAGACUCACAAGUAAUGUACUAUCCUUUGCUUAUCUAAAAGUGUAACCAUAUAUUGGUUACUGGUCGACUGGAAAAAUGCAAUGCCAAACUUAAACUGUUUCAUCAGAUGUUGUGUAUGCUAUUCUGUGAAAUUUCUAGAUGGAUUACAGUAUUAGAACAGUUCAUCCUAUUGUCAUCUCUCUUCAACUUUCAUUCUUUCAGUUCAAAGGGUUAUUACUUUGGUUGAUUACUUGAAUGCCUUCAUUUGAGGUGCCCUGUUCUAUCACCUUUUCUGCUUAACUAAUUGAUCUCUGUGCUAUAUGUCACUAUGUCAGUUCUUGGAGUUUUACAUAUAUCACAUAUCUGAUGUUAAAUUUUCCUUAUUCUGCAGGUACCUUUAGUUAUUUACCAUUUCAUUAGUGUUAUAUGCUACUAUGAACAACCUCAAGCUAGGGGUGGAUGUGGUUAGCGCCCACAAUCUUUUGCCUAAAGAUGGGCAAGGUUCAUCUGAUGCAUUUGUGGAGCUGUAUUUUGAUGGCCAGAGGUUCCGCAGCACUAUAAAAGAAAAGGAUCUCAACCCCGUUUGGAAUGAAAGUUUCUACUUCAACAUUGCUGAUCCUUCAAACCUACACUAUCUUACUCUUGAGGCCUAUGUCUACAACAAUGUGAAAGCUACUCACUCCAGGUCCUUUCUUGGAAAGAUCAGUGUCACUGGGAAUUCAUUUGUCCCCUAUUCUGAUGCUGUUGUCUUGCAUUACCCUCUGGAAAAGCGUGGCAUCUUCUCACGUGUAAGAGGAGAGCUCGGCUUGAAGGUUUAUGUUACUGAUGACCCAACAAUUAAGUCCUCCACUCCAAUGCCGGCUUCUGAAUCCCUUACUGAUCAGGAUCCAGGCCUUGCACAGACCCAAGGAGUUUCAGCUCCUGGCAUGAGCUCAUUUCGGAGUGAGAAAUCUCAGGCAAGACACACCUUUCAUCAUCUGCCAAAUCCAGGUCAAGAGAGCCAACAUCAGCAUCAUGCUUCUGCUGCCCCAGAUACUCAUUAUGUACCUAAGCAUGAAGCUGAUCAAAUGAAAUCUGAACAGCAGCCUGCAAAGCUAGUCCGCAUGUACUCUGCUUCAGCAUCACAACCUGUUGACUAUGCACUUAAAGAGACAAGCCCUUACCUUGGAGGUGGGAGGGUUGUUGGUGGACGUGUUAUUCAUGGAGACAAGACUGCAAGCACCUAUGAUCUAGUCGAGAGGAUGUACUUUCUCUAUGUAAGGGUUGUUAAAGCGCGCGAGCUUCCUGCCAUGGAUGUUACAGGAAGUCUUGAUCCUUUUGUUGAAGCGAGAAUUGGAAACUACAGAGGGAUUACAAAACACUAUGAGAAACAGCAAAAUCCAGUAUGGAAUCAGGUUUUUGCUUUUUCAAAAGAUCGCAUGCAAGCAUCUGUGUUAGAAGUUGUGGUUAAAGACAAGGACCUGCUUAAAGAUGACUUUGUGGGAAUUGUGAGGUUUGACAUCAAUGAGGUUCCAUUAAGAGUUCCACCUGACAGUCCUCUAGCUCCAGAGUGGUACCGACUUGCGGACAAAAAAGGUGAAAAGAUUAAAGGGGAGUUGAUGCUUGCAGUCUGGAUUGGCACUCAAGCUGAUGAGGCUUUUUCUGAUGCAUGGCACUCUGAUGCUGCUACACCUGUUGAUAGCUCACCAGCUGCAUCUGCAGUGAUUCGCUCAAAGGUGUAUCAUGCACCAAGGCUGUGGUAUGUUCGUGUGAAUGUGAUAGAGGCACAAGACCUCUUUGCAACAGAGAAGAAUCGUUUCCCAGAUGCAUAUGUCAAGGUACAGAUUGGAAACCAGGUUAUGAAGACAAAAACACUUCAGGCUCGAAAUUUAAACCCACUUUGGAAUGAAGACCUUUUGUUUGUGGCUUCUGAGCCCUUUGAAGACCAUCUGGUCAUUUCAGUUGAGGACCGUGUUGGCCCUGGCAAGGAUGAAAUCCUUGGGAGGGUUAUAUUACCACUCAACUCUGUAGAUAGGCGAGCUGAUGAUCGUAUGAUCCAUUCCAGAUGGUUCAAUCUUGAAAAGCCAGUUGCUGUGGAUGUGGAUCAGUUGAAGAAAGAGAAGUUCUCAAGCCGCAUUCAUCUUCGUGUUUGUCUUGAUGGAGGAUACCAUGUUCUAGAUGAGUCGACUCAUUAUAGUAGUGACUUACGCCCCACAGCAAAACAGCUUUGGAGGCCAGCCAUUGGAGUUUUAGAGCUUGGAAUCUUGAAUGCUGUGGGGCUGCAUCCGAUGAAAACAAGAGAUGGAAGGGGCACUUCAGAUACUUACUGUGUAGCAAAAUAUGGCCAUAAAUGGGUCAGGACAAGAACCCUUGUCGAUAAUCUGUGUCCGAAAUAUAAUGAGCAGUACACUUGGGAGGUGUUUGAUCCUUCUACAGUUCUUACAGUAGGUGUGUUUGACAACAGCCAGCUUGGGGAUAAGGAUUCCAAUGGCCACAAAGACUUGAAAAUUGGAAAGGUUCGUAUUCGUAUCUCAACACUUGAAGCAGGCCGCAUAUACACACACUCGUAUCCGCUGCUAGUUCUUCACCCAGCUGGUGUCAAGAAGAUGGGAGAGUUGCAUUUGGCUAUUCGGUUUUCAUGCACAUCUUUUGUGAACAUGCUUUACACAUACUCAAAACCACUGCUACCAAAGAUGCACUACGUAAGGCCCUUCAAUGUAAUGCAGCUUGACAUGCUACGUCACCAGGCUGUGAACAUAGUUGCAGCAAGGCUAGGGCGAGCUGAGCCACCACUUAGGAAGGAGGUGGUGGAAUACAUGUCUGAUGUGGACUCACAUCUUUGGAGCAUGAGACGGAGCAAAGCGAAUUUUUUCAGGCUUAUGACAGUUUUCUCAGGAGUAUUUGCUAUAGGCAAAUGGUUUACUGACAUUUGCAUGUGGAAGAAUCCCAUAACCACUGUGCUUGUCCAUGUCCUCUUCCUUAUGCUUGUUUUCUUUCCGGAACUGAUUCUACCCACAGCUUUUCUGUACAUGUUUCUGAUUGGGGUAUGGAACUUCAGAUACCGGCCUAGAUAUCCUCCUCACAUGAACACAAAGAUCUCACAAGCUGAUCUAGUACACCCUGAUGAGCUAGAUGAGGAGUUCGACACAUUUCCCACUAGCAGGAAUCCUGAGCUGGUGAGAAUGAGGUAUGAUCGUCUGAGAAGUGUGGCUGGUAGAAUUCAGACAGUGGUUGGUGAUGUAGCAACACAAGGUGAGCGGCUUCAGGCACUUUUGAGUUGGCGUGACCCGCGGGCUACAGCACUCUUUGUCACAUUUUGCCUCAUAGCUGCCUUGGUGAUGUAUGUGACACCAUUCCAGGUGGUGGCAGCAUUGGCAGGGUUCUUUAUGAUGAGGCAUCCGCGGUUUCGACACAGGAUGCCCUCAGCACCCAUCAACUUCUUCCGCAGGUUGCCUGCUAGAACUGAUAGUAUGUUGUAAGUUUGAUUCUAGAUGUUUAUGGCUUCUGGUAUGAUCUAGUAAGUUUAAUUCAGUCCUAAACUAUGAGUCUGAUCUUGUUGACAUUGCUCUCCUUGUUCGACUCUUGCCUGCUAGAACUGAUAGUAUGUUGUAAGUUUGAUUCUAGAUGUUUUUGGCUUCUGGUAUGAUCUAGUAAGUUUAAUUCAGUCCCAAACUAUGAGUCUGAUCCGUAUUGACAUUGCUCUCCUUAUUCGACUCUUGAAGUACCGAACCAUGAAUAAAUUUUUAUCUGCCGGCUGCUGCUUCUUUUCCUAUUUUGUUUGUUGACACCAUAUUUUUCUAUUGUUCAUAUAAGCAGAUCUGUCAUCGACAUGUUGUAGAAUUUUUCAUGAAAAUAUUUCAAAGAAGUCAAUACUAAGAAUGAUGACUAUCGAAUGAUACUCGAUGUUCAUGUCACCUACCAAGUAGCAACAUACCACCAUAGCCAUAAGCUAUUAUUUAUUGGCUAAAGAAUGACAAAGUCUGAUAUGGCUAAGACAACCUAAAGAAUAAUUUUAGUUUGUUUUAUUCUAUAUUUCUAUGCAAUACAUUCCAACGUGCAGGCCAAGUCCAGAUAUUACUUACAGUACGUGCUUCCAUGUUUAAGAUCAUUGUUGGCCAGAACGCAACUGCCCCAAUAAGAAGCAAGAAAGGAAUGUCGAAACAGCAAGCUUCCUUCCCAAAAUGGCGGUUGCCUUAUCGAAAAGAAGUUCCAAACACUUGAAGAAAGAAGCCCCGAAAAGGGAGCCUUGUUUCUGUUUGUCACCAUGUUUAUGUUUCAUUGCUCUAUUCAAGUUUCUAUAUAGACUUCCUGCAGCAUUUUUGUUGCUUUUUCUUAUCUACCUCUGGUCUUCCUCCACCACCAUUAUCUCUGGCAACAUUGUUCAUGUCUGUAUCUCGUCUCGGAAGCUCAAUAAUCAUUACUGCCUAUCUGCAGGUAGUACAAGACCCAAAUUUGAACUCCCAAAUCUCAAUAAUGCUACUCAUUACCUCCACACUCCUGACCCGAGUUCAAACCUCUCUAUCUCGAUAUCGCCUCCUUUGUCCCAAAAUAACAGUCCCAUUAGUCCUCCACCUCCUAAAGUCAGUAGUGAGAUUGUGAUCAGAGAGACUGUUCAAGUUGUCCAUGAUGAGUCUGAUCCAGUGAAGAAUGGAGCCAACAAAGAACGAGAAGAAGAGAUUGCAAAUGCAAAGAAGCAAGUUGAAGAGCAGCUAAGAUUGCACAGAUCAUGGAUAUCAAAUAAGAAGCAUGAAGGGUGUGAAGGAAGAGGAGUCUAUGUGUAUGACUUGCCAUCCAAGUUUAAUAAGGACUUGUUGGGUCAAUGCAGAGACAUGGUUCCAUGGAUGGAUUUCUGCGAGUAUUUCAAAAACGAGGCAUUGGGUGAAUCGAUUCCCAAGCUUGGAGAUGGGUGGUACCACACUCAUCAGUACUCAUUGGAGCCAAUAUUCCAUCAAAGGAUCUUGAAUCAUCCUUGCAGGGUUCACAGUGAGAAUGAAGCAAAGCUUUUCUAUGUUCCAUUCUAUGGAGGUUUGGACAUUCUGAGGUGGCAUUUCAAGAAUGUGUCCAAUGAUGUCAAGGACACUUUGAGCUUGGAGCUCAUAACAUGGCUUAAGAAGCAAGACUUUUGGAGGAAGAAUUCAGGUAGAGAUCAUGUGCUGGUGUUGGGGAAGAUUUCAUGGGAUUUUAGGCGAAAAGAUGGUUCGUGGGGGACGAACUUCCUCGAAAUUGAUCAAAUGCAAAAUCCAAUCAAGCUCUUGAUUGAGAGACAACCAUGGCAACAAAAUGACGUUGGAAUCCCACAUCCAACAUUCUUCCACCCGAAUUCAGACGAUGAUAUAAUGGCAUUGCAAUGGAAGAUCAUUAGCUCAUAUAGAAAAACGUUAGUGAGCUUCGCUGGUGCAGCAAGGCCUAGUGCAGCCGAGAGCAUAAGGUCCACAUUGAUCGAUCAGUGCAACUCAGCCGAAAAUGGGAAAUGUCACUUCCUCAACUGCCAUACAGGUGAUUGUGAUAAGCCAGAGUCGGUCAUUGAGCUUUUCAUGGAGUCUGAAUUCUGCUUGCAGCCACCAGGAGACAGCCCAACUCGAAAGUCCUUAUUUGAUUCAUUAAUAUCUGGUUGCAUCCCUGUGCUUUUCGAUCCUUUCACAGCUUAUUAUCAGUAUCCAUGGCAUCUCCCAGUGGAACAUGGAAAGUAUUCUGUGUUUAUAGACCAGAAAGAUGUGAGGGGAAUGAAGGUGAAUGUGGUGGAGAUGCUUAUGAAGAUUCCUAAGGAGAACAGGGAUGAUAUGAGGAGGCACAUUGUGUACGAGUUGUUGCCUGGUUUGGUUUAUGGGGAUUCAAAUGCCCAGUUUGACAAGUUUCAGGAUGCAUUUUCGAUUACAAUGAGUAAUCUGAUGGAGAGGGUCACCAAAUUGGAGUUAGCCGUAUAAUAUCUGAGGAUGAUUCAUGUAAUUUUCUCUUUUAUUUGUUGAUUUUUUUUUUUCAUCUCCCAUAUGUAGAAGGGAAGUUUAGAGGAAUAUCGAAUUACGGUAUACAUUCCUAUGCCUCCCUAAUUACGUUAAAUGCAAUUUUAUGUCACACGAACUCAAAUCUUUUCAAUUUUUUAUAAUGCGUUCAUCAUCGUGAAAAUAAUUAACUUUAAUCUUAUCGUCCAUAUUUAACAAAACUCAUCAAACAUGAGAAAAUAAUCAAUAAUCUUAUUUACAAGACAAAACUAUCACUUUCCAAACAAAACUUUACACCCAUAGGAGGCGAGGAGGGAAAGACAAACCAAAUUUUGGAUCAAAAUGAAGAUAAGAUCAAAACUCAAACAGCCAAGCAAAAUAUCCCAGUUCACAUAUUGUUCACACCCACAUACCCCCAAACCAUCACCACUGACGUCACACACCCCAAGCAUCUCACCGUUCACACACCCUAAAAACCACAUGACGUACACCCUGAUCCACCAAUCUCAGCCGUCCAUUUACCCUUCAUUUCCAAGACAGAUAACUCCGUGCUCGCGCCUCCACGUGUGACCUACUACACCACCUACGUGGAAGCCCCAAGCUCCUCCACGUCAACAUCCCAAAACCUUGUCGCCUACCAAAAAAAAAAAAGUGGACUUUUCUGAGUUUCUGUCUCACGCUAUAAAUCUGAAGCCUUUCUCUGUUUCUAGGCAUCGCAAAUGCUCUGUUCUUCUUCUCGUCUUGUCUUCCGUAGAAACCUCGCCGUCGCUGCAGCUCUUGUUUUCCCCAGGCAAUUCUCAACCGUUUCCAAGAAUACCCUCUUGCGUCCCUCGUGUUUUCCCUCCAUCAAAGCACAGUCUUUCAACCCAGUUUCGUCUUUUCAAUUCAAUCGAUCAAUGGCUAGCCAAUCCUCCCAACCAAAAACCGUCCACGACUUCACUGUCAAGGUUGGUUUUUUCUCUUUUUUCCUGAAUAAUUUUGGAUUUUUUUUAUAUUUUCGAUUAGCAGCAAUCAGACUAUGAAGGGUGUUUCUUUGUGUAGUUGUAUAUUGCUAGUGGGUUUUAGGUUGCGCAAAAUGUGUUGUGUUUCUUGUUAUGAUGUUAUAUAUUGGGACUUUGAUGUGUAUAAUUGUGUUGGUCUAUUUGUAGGAUGCCAGGGGCAAUGACGUUGAUCUGAGCACAUACAAAGGAAAGGUCCUUUUGAUUGUCAAUGUCGCAUCACAAUGGUACACCAUGCCUUCGCUUUUUUAUUAUGUUGCUGAUUAUACUAUGGCUAUGCUACAACUGAAUUGGCACUUUAGAUAAACAUAUUUCUCUUGGUAAUCAAGGUAGUUAGGUCCUUAGUUGUGAUGACCCUUGUCUCAAACUAGCAGUUGUCUCUGCUUUCGAUUUCGUCUUCUGUUGCCUUAUAGAGUUUGCAAAUCGAUUUUGAUGCAGUGGGUUGACCAAUUCAAACUACACAGAACUGGCUCAGUUGUACGAGAAGUACAAAACUCAAGGUUUACUUUCUAACUCCCUUUCUUCCUUUUGCUUCCUUAUAAUCCUUGUCGCUUCAUUGCUUUAUAGCUGAACUCGUGUAUCUGUUUCCUCUGCAGGUUUGGAGAUUUUGGCAUUCCCGUGCAAUCAGUUUGGAGCUCAGGAGCCAGGGUCUAAUGACGAGAUUGUGGAGUUUGCUUGCACUCGCUUUAAGGCCGAGUAUCCCAUCUUUGACAAGGUAUGAAGGCGAUUUUGUUUCCCAUAUGUUGAAUGGAAUCAAGUCAUUUGAGUAGCAGUGGAGUUUAACAUGCUUUAUGUUCUCAUUUUAGGUGGAUGUGAAUGGUGACAAAGCCACUCCAUUGUAUAAGUUCUUGAAGUCGAGCAAAGGUGGUCUCUUUGGUGACAGCAUCAAGUGGAACUUCUCCAAGUUCCUUGUUGACAAGGAAGGGAAUGUUGUCAACCGUUAUGCCCCAACAACUACUCCUCUUAGCAUCGAGGUACAUAACAAUUCGUGCAUUGCAGUGCAUAAAUGUACAACUCUUAGGUGAUAUUGAUUUUGCUGAUUGUCUCUUUUAACAUCAUUGUGGUUGGUCUUUGUGUUUGCAGAAGGAUGUGAAGAAGCUGUUGGGGGUUGCAUGAAUCAGCUCCUUAUGAAUAACUGAGAGGGUUUACUAGGAAUAAAAAACUGUAAUGAGAAUAAGUUUCUGUAUUGUUGGACAUGUUCUUAGAAAUUAUGUUUCUCUGAAGCAACCUGUAUGCUGUUUUCAUCAGUAUAAUUCAAUGAAUAUAUGCAUUCGAGCUUCAUACAUACAUGAUACAUGUUAGUCUGAUUGAUGCCUGUUGGGCUGUUGUAGUGUUGUACUCUUCCAGAUCAAAAAUAGUGGUGUGGUGGUUUCUAUAGUGACUAUUCAGAGCCAUAGGUCCAUAAAGUUGUGUUAACACUUCUCUUUUUCGAAGCAAAGAAGAAAACCAAAAGAUGCCGGCACCCAAUAGUGUCACAGGCUCAUCGAUAUAUUGUUAAGCAAUUCUAUGGUCACAACAACGGCCAAGCCAAGCAAAUCUUAUUAGGAAGAUAGGGACCAAAGUCCAUGAACGAUCUAAAUUCUGAAGAAAGCUGUAAAAGUAACAUCCACCAACGAGGGAUGACAAGAAUGGUAUUGGUAAGGCACUUAGAAGAAUCUCGUCCAACUAGGAGGGGCUAAAAUAGCUCUCAGGCUAAUUUUAGCCCAUGAAAAUCACCAUGUGCAUGAAUAGUGAGGGUUAAAAUUUUAAUCAUCUUCAACCUUUAGGACUAUAAACUUACAUACCAUGUUUAUUUCGAAGGUCUAUACAAAGGGUCAAAUAUAACCUAGCCCUUGGCCCUUGUAGCCCCUCAAACCCUAUUUUUGGUUUAGCAUAGCGGAGAUGGAAUUUGUGACUUUUGGGGGCUAGUCACAAAUCUCUUAUGGGUAGGUUGUUGAGUAUUGGGACCUGAAAAACUUGGUAAAAACUGUCACGUCCAGCCCCAGGCCUCCUACUGGGAUCUAAAUCUUGCCACAGUUGCACAGUGAAGAAUGCCAUCCAUGUACUAGUUGCAAUAUCCAAAAUAACUACACAUUCUACACAUUGAUAUUAGAGCUCUUUUUGAGAACCACAUUGUCUUGUUUGUACAAAUAAGGAUAUAUCAAGUAGAAAAGUGUAUCUCGAGUAAUGGUUGAUAAAAUAGUUAAUAAAUUUAGAUAAAAGUUAUAUUUAUCAAUUCAUUUUGAGAGUUGUGUUUCAGCAUAGUAGCUAUUAGAGAAAACUUAGCUAUUCAUUGACGAUUUGUCAAUUUUGCUUAUCAAUUUCUAAAUUUGUCAACUUCUUAAGUAUUCUGCUUGAAGUAAAUAAUCAUUUAAAAAUUAACAAAUCUCUAAUUUUUCUCUAUUUAUCAAUUCUGCUGGAGAAGCUAAAUGUAUGUGAGGUUGGAUGGAACCGACUAGCUUUUUAUAUUGUUUUGAUUUGAAGGAUAAAGGGAGGGGGAGGGGGAGACUAAGUCAAUAGCAAAGAUGACUAAUAGAAGCUAGACUAACAAUAAGUAUGAGUAGGUAGCUUACCAAUAACAGCGCGUACACAUUGCCUUAUAGGUUAUGAAAAUAGUCUUGGAAAGGCCGGAAAUGCAUUAGAGAGACAGUCAGAAACGUGUCGGAAACGUUUGGAAACGCCUCUGUAAAUACAUCGGAUACUAGGGGAUAAUACUGACUUUUUGCCUCAAAGAAGAACAUAAAAGAAAGCAAGGAGCUUUGGCAAUGCAAUGCGACGUCGAAGGCCUCUGCUCCACCCCAAACCCCACACCGCCGCCGCCACCGCCGCUUCCAAAUUGGGAGACAUCCUCCUGGUGGCCUCCAUCACCAAGACAUAUCCUUCUGCCUUAAACCUCUUCUGCUCCUACAAAAUAGUUGGGUCUUUAGUUGUGAUCACCCUAGUUUCAAAACUAGGAGUUGUACGUCUCUGCUUUUGAUUUCGUCUUCUGUUGCCUUAUAGACAGGGGCGAAGCUGUGCUCAGGCCCGAAGGGGUCUGAACCCCCCUUGGUUUUUGGAAAGUUUAGGUGCUUAAUUAGCUAAUUAUAUCAUUAUACCCCCCUUAAAUUUUCUACCUAUUAAUUAAUCUUGAAUGACAAAUCAAUUAUAUUAAGAAAUGUAUCUAUAAAUUGAUUGGUCUUUAUGUCUUACCAAUCGAAAUUGUUAAGAUAAUUGAUUUCUUUUAAUUAGUAAACAGGAAAAUUAAUGAAUUUACCAAAACAAAAAAUGUGAAGUAUUAAGUGAUGUGUAAAUUACUAUUUUCUUCAUUCGUACAUUUUUAAUGUUGCACGAGUUUAUGAGAUGUAUACAAUAAAAUUUUGCUUCAUUUAAAGAUGAUCAAAUUAAACUUUGAGUCAGGUAACUUUUUACAAAAUUUUAAUAUACACUUAUGUUAUAAUGUUUGGACCCCCCAAGAUUCAAAUCCUAGCUCCGCCACUGCUUAUAGAGCAAGUUUGCAAUUUGAUAUUGAUGCAGUGGCUUGACCAAUUCAAACAACACAGAGCUUGCUCAGUUGUAUGAGAAGUACAAAACUUCAAGGUUUAAUUUCUAACUCCUUUCUUCAUUUUGCUUACUUGUAAUUCUUCUCUUAAAUGAAUUAUAGCUAACUCGUGCAUGCAUGCCUUGUUUCUUUGCAGGUCUGGAGAUUUUGGCAUCCCCGUGCAAUCAGUUUGGAGCACAGGAGCCAGGGUCUAAUGACGAGAUUGUAGAGUUUGCUUGCACUCGGUUUAAGGCCGAUCGAGUAUCCCGGCCAUCUUUGACAAGCAGGUAUGAUGAAGGCGAUUUUGUUUUCCAUAUGUUGAAUGGAAUCAUGUCAGCAAGAAGCAGUGGAGUUUAACAUGCUUUUUAUUUCCCAUUUUAGGUGGAUGUGGAUGUUAAUGUCGGCAAGAAUAUAUGAGUUCUUCUCCUGGAAACAUUUUGUCAGCUGUACGUGAUGGACAAGCAACUACAAUUAAUCUUCUCCGGCGCUGCUCCUGCCUUCUCGACAUGAACAGAAAAUUCUAUAAGAAUGCAGUUUCUAGGGUUUGUAAAUUGUAAGUAAACUUUUAUAGUCACUCUAUAUAUAGAACGUACCUGCACGUAUACACAUGUCAAGGUUAUAUCCAAAUAUGGAGACAGUGCUGCAUGCUCACUCAUGGAAUAUAUGACUAUUAUUUCCACAUAUUUGAGUGUGUCGUCUGUGAAACUGCAGAAACUGCCAAAGCUUUUGACACGCAAUUAAUAUAUAUAUAUAUAUAUAUAUAUGAUAUAUAUGGAAAUAUAUAUAUAGAUCAAAUUACAAUUAGAAUUGGAAUGAACAAUUUAAACAGGUGGGGAUGACUCGUAUAAAUUUCCCUGGCAUGCAUGGGGCUAGAAGUAGGUAUUUCUUACCUCACAUACUAAAUGCAGACUUUUGCCGAAGCAGUCUGUCCUUUUCCAUGUAUAAGUUAGAAUAAUGCAGCUUAGGUUUAAAUUCUCGAUUUAUUUUCAAAGGCGGCAAGCAGCCACUUGCUGGAAAACAUGCCAGCAUUGGCCCUAGCUAUUAAGAUAUACGGUUGAAUGUGAUCUGAAAAUGUUUCGCGGUCAUCGACCAUCUUCAGCUUUUGGGUUUGGCAUGCAUAUGCAACUGUUUGCUACUAGCUCGAUCCUCCAUGAAUGUUUCUCUGUCAGAUCUCUCUAAUUUUCCGGUCAUUACACCUCAAAUUGAAAUCCACACUUACCUUUUUUUUUUUUUUGCAAUAAAAUUGGUAACUUAAAUUUUGUCUUUUAGUGACUUAAACUUUGUUUUUUAUGAAUGUGUUAACAAAAAAAUAAUAAUAAUAAUAAUAUGGAUUUCAAUUUAGGGUGUGUGGACAUCCAUUUAUGUCAUUUCUUUCAUUUGAAUGUCUAUAUAUGUACAUAUAUCUUUACGUACUGAAGUUGCUGAUGACAUGCACAGUACUUUUAGGUGGUCGUUACUCGUUAAAGACUGUAGCUCUCUCUCUCUCUCUCUCUCUCUCUCUCUCAGCUAGUGACCAUGAUCAGACCGAUGAAGAUAUAAACAUACUCAUAUAUGCACAUGCACAUUACAUAUGCCCGACUGUCCUGUCCUCGCAUGCACAAUACAAGCUGCUCUUGAGUCUUGACAUUAAACUUAUUGUUAGCUAGUCAUGACUCAUGAUGCAUAUACAUAUUGGCCUUUCAUUUCCGAUGGACCUCGAGAGUCGAGAAUACGAUGGAUUUUAUUUAUAGAAAUAGAAAAGGUACACAUACAUCCUAGCAAACUAAAUUAGAAACCUAAUCAAUUACAGAAGGUAAGGUGGACAUGCACCAACCUUACUCAGUUACUCUUCCUAGUGGGAACAAGCAAAUACAGAAGCGGCCUGAUCAUAUAGAUGUGCCGCAUUAUUCCAUCAAAGUUAGAGAAGACACGCAAGCAUACUUCGAUUCCAUGGAUAUAUAGGUUUCUAGUUAUAUGCUGCCUUAAAUCUUUCAAAGAAACUAAUAAUAUCGUCUGCAAUGAGAUCUGCAGUAUUGUCUGUGCUUGUGGUUCUGCUUAGAGGUACUUUGGUAUCCUUAGCUCCCCUAAGAUUGUCGCUCUUGAGUGGAAAGAGCUCCAGAGUUUGAGUUUCUCUACUUUCUUCUUCUCUUCUGUAAUUAGUGGGUUCAGUUAAUACCAUACGGCCGUAAUCAUGAUGAUAACAGUGACGAUAGUCCAAGAGCUUUCUGUGAAUUAACGUAGCGUCUGAGGUCGAUCUACGUGUAGCCAUUUGUUCCACAAGUUGCCUCGAGGAGCAAUCCACCAUGCUCAUCAUCCUCUCUUGCAGUACUGAAGAUGAUUCCUGAGGACGUACGGUAACGAGUGAAACUCAUGCAUAUAGGCUAAAACAGAAUAUCCAUAUCGAUCACGCAUUCCAUUCAUUCAUUUCUAUAUUCUCUUCUUGAGAUUUGGUUUGAUGAUACGAGUAUUACGUAUACCUGAUCAGAAAUAACAGUGCGGUUCGGUAGUUUCCACUUAUUCUGCUGCUCAACUUCAAGACUGAUCUGCUGCUCAACUUCAAGACUUGACUGAUUAGUUAGUCCUGCAAUUAUUAGACAAUUUCAGUAACAAGUGACAUAUCUGAGAAUUAACCUUUGCUAGCUUCUCAUCAACUUUGAAACUCAUAAAACCAGAUUCACAAGUCUUGGUACUCUUGUGCUCAAUCAAUUGAAUUUCUCUUAGCUAUUAGCUAGGGUUUGCUGAAUCUUGCCUGGUGACCACAAGGCACAAGUAUAUUAUUUGUACUGAAUCUCAUAAUUAUUAUCAAAUAUUAACACAAUCAUUCAGUCUCUACCCACCUCAUAACGUAGCUAAUCAAUAUGCAUGGUAUACACUUAUUGAGGUGGCUUCAACAAGUGUUGAGCCCUAGUCUCCCAUAGAGUCAUGCACAAAUCUAAUAAGAAAAUAAUGCAACUGAAUUGGUACCUCCUGCAGAUUCUUUGUCCUGGAGACCGCUAGUCGUGUUGUUAGUGAAAGUUUGCUGUUGUUUAGAGUCAGUCGACUUAUACAUGGACAUUACUUGACGUCGUCUCUUCUGCCUCUCCCUGGCUCGGUAGUUCUGAAACCAAUAAAAUACAUUCUUGCCUUCAAUUCUCCCAUAGUUUCGAAGCUGCACAGUCACCAGUUGGAUCUGUUUGGCCGUUGGUGUCUUUAACCCACAUCGAUACAUCUCUUUCAGGGCCAUAACCUGCUCCGGGGUUGGAGUCCAUCGGGACCUUCGCAAAGGAGCUGCAGCUUCGGAUUUUUUAUCAAUACAAAAACUACCACUACUGCUACUUCUCCCUUGCGCAGUCGACGUCGAUGUCCCUCGAACCACUGCACACAUAUAUAUGAAUACUACUGUUAUAUAUUAUCACUAUUAUCACCUACCCAGAACAUAAUUAAUCAAAGAUUUCUACAUAUAUAUAUACAUAUAUAUCAAUAUAUAUGUGAUCUAAUCAUAUAUUACUGUAUAUAUAUAUAUAUAUACAUCUGUACGUACUCUGAUGUUGAUGGUAGUUGAGUGGUAACACAGGGUUUUGGGUCGUACUGGAAGUAGAGGUAAGCUUUGGAGUGAGUAGUACUGCAGGCUGAUGAAGAUUUGCAGCAGCUUUGAUAUAGUAGUCAGGCAGCUGAUCCCUGGUAAUGUUCAUGUUAGGGUUUCUACAACUAGCGCUGAUGGAUUUCAUCAUCAAAAACAUCUAUAUAGGAUAGUUAUUUAAACGAGGAGGAUUGCUAAGCAGACAAGGGAAUGUUUUCAAUCGUGAGCAAAGAUGAGAAAGGGAUGAAUAUCACUGAGGAAGGUAUAUGUAUUUAUAGUCAUAAAGCUUGCUUACGUUGCUUACGUUCAGUUUCCAAAUUGACCAAAAAAUAAAAAAUUACUUUCAGGUUCCAAACAUGCAGGAUUAAUAAUGGAAAUAUACAGAAAAAAGAAAAGAAAAAAGAAGAUGACAUUGAGCUUGCGUAAACGAAGAUAGGGAAAUAAUGACAGCAUUAACUAGUUCCGAUCUUAUAUCUCACUAUCCUCCUGACAUGUACAUUUACUUAUCAACAAAACUAUGACGUCAAUUAUAACUACCACCUUUUUUACAUUAAUUAUUCAUCGACUUCAAUUCUAUUCGUAUAUUCGAUCAAUUUCAUUUAACUUGUACAUGUUUGCUUUAGUUUAAAAUGCGUUCGUGUUCCUACUCUGUGGAAACAUAAGUAACAUUUCAGAUUAAGCUAGUUUUAGGGAUAUGGAGAAUUUCCGUUAUCAAAUUUUGGGAGCAGAUCGAGCAUGCAAAAUCGAGCUAUGGAUCUUAGAAAAAUUCCAUUUUGAACGGCACGACUCUUUCUCGUUUUUGCUUAUGUUUUGGUUGCCUUUCUAUUUUGUUGUUUCACUUGCAUCUAAGACAAUUUCUAUCCAACGAUGUGUGAGGAAUACGUAGUCGAUCUAUUUACUGUUAAUCGUUGUAGGAAUUCACACCAGAUCAACAAAUUAAGAGGGUGGACCGUUUUAUAAAUAGAGAAGAAAAUUAAAGGUCUGCAAAUGAAAAUGAAACCUCGACUCCCAUCCAGAAAUAAACAGGCUAUAUAUGCAUACAUGCAUGCAGAAUAUACCAGAUAUAUAUGAUACAAUUAUAUAUGUGGUUUGGGAGUGCAAUACUGCAAUAAUACUGGAGCUUGCUUUGUUGUAGCUGGCUAGCUUAGGGUUAGCUGCUCAAGAAAUCACCAGAAUACAAAUGAUGGUCGGAAUUGUCACUCAGAUGAGCCGCCUGUUGGUAGUUGAUCAUCAGUUAUGUCUAUUACGUAUGCAUUUUUUUUUACAGAGAGAUACCAGUUGAGCCCCAAAGCUUUAACCCUUUCCGUAUAUUGUUGCCGCGUCAGCAAUGAUUUUGUAUCAUAAAUAUUAUUAAGACGGGCUGGACGUUGUUCCAGAUUUUGCAGACUUUGCCAUAACUUUGCUCGACGCCUUCCAUACAUUGUAGGUUAAUUUUUCCUUAUUAAUUUUCUCCAAUUUAUUCUCAUUUACUUCUCUUGCACACUACUGUUCCUCUCUGACUAUACAUAUUGAUUAUUUUUCAGAUCAUUAUAUGGGACAUUGUAGGGUUAGAAUACUCGAAUGACGUCACUGGACAUCACCAACAACAGAACGUACAACCGCAUGCAUAUGUAUACAUGCUUAAUUCGGCAAUAAUGGCCGAACAUCUUUAUGGUUUCGUUUGAAUGCAUGUAUCAUGUAUGCUAGGUAGCUAGCUCCUCUGAUCUUCCUGUUCCUUGCCAAUUCCGUUAUGGGGUUUCUCCUUUCGUUUUCUGAUACCCUCUUUUUAGAUUGUUUGCGGUAUUCGGAGACUCAAUCCCUAGCCUUGCCAAACUAGGCCACACUGGUUCGGCUCGAUGAUGGAGUACUAAUGCCACUCUCUCUUCUACCUUUGCUUUCUCUCUAUUUCUCUUCUUAUAAGUUGUAUUAGGGUUCUACGUUGUAAUUUAUUCUAUACUUUAGAAAGAAAGAAAAAUGAGAUAGAGAUGAAUUUGAUCGAUUAUGGCACAUAUAUUGAUGCUCACUAUACAAUAGGUACUUAUAGAUAGGCAUGAAAUGAUUGUGGCCUGGCCCGUGUUCAUUAAGCACCGGCUUUGAUUUGAUCGAGCUUAAUUAUAAUUCAGACGGUGACCAUUAGUUCACAGAGAACGUACGUUGUUGCCCGUAAUGUAUGUAUUUGAUAUAGAUCCAUAUGCAUAUAUGGACUGAUCGGACAUGUUUAUGCGCGCAUGCAUCAUAAAGAUGCUCCAUAUAUAUCCCCGUUAGCUAGCUCGCUGAUAAUUUACGCUUCAGCAGAUCGAACAAAGAGCCAUACUGAUAGAGGAUUCAAAUAAUCGAGCUGCGUUUAAACCAAUAUAAAUAGACGGUUGGAUUCAAAGAAUUUACGCCACGAACGAGAACGAGAGUGGAUUCAAGUUUAUAUGAUUCCAUUAUGUACGUUAAUUUCUGUAUUUAAUGGCUUCAUAUCCUCGUUAAAAAUAUGGAAUGCUGCAUCAUAUCGAUCAUGUAAAGGGCUUUUAAUUUCUGGAUACAUGAGCAUGAUGAGGUAGCUAGCUAGGUAGCUCGAUCAUCGUCACAUGCUGUCUUCUUUCAUCGAUCUCUUUGAUUAUGUACGUCAAUGUGAGUUUCAUCGAUCUCUUUCGAGAUGUCGUCACUCGAGCUCAUCCCCCAUAUAUCUGAGAAUCUGGGGAGAGUAAUUUUCAACUUAAAUGUUCAAGUCUGGGAUCCAUGAUGUGGCCGCCCCGUGAAUGCAAUAACGUUCAUUUGUUGCACCUCCUUGUCCAAUUGCGUAGCACAAUGAUUCUCACAUUCAUUUUGAUUCUGAUGAGACCUAAUAAUUUAGCGACUCAUCAUGUCCUUCCGGACCCGACUGUUUGUUCUUCUCUUUAUUAAUUCAGUGUUCACUAAGGGGGGUAAAUUCAGGCAUGCGAUGCUUGACAAACGGGACUGUUAAUUGUAAAACUAUCAGGCUGCUACGGUGAAAAGAGGAAAUCGGAUCCUAGAGAUGUAUUUUUGGUCAUCCAUUGUAGAUGUGUGACAAGGAAAUCGACAUAAAUGAGGCUUAUUAUAUGUUUUCGUAAGAAAAUAUUUGGAAUUUUAAAGAACAAACACUUAUAAUUAUGAAAAACAAAACACUUUCUUUUGUUUUGACCGUCCUAGAGUACGUACCUAAAAACUAAUCUAGUACAUCGACUGAAAAUUAUUGUAUGCAUGACGUGUAUUUACACGACUCAAUCUUAACCAGUUAACCGUUCAUAACAAUUCAUAUAUUUGACCACCAUGUUUCUAUAUUAUUACCUCAAAUCCUGACCAUUUAUGUAUGUAUGUAAAGACACUACUGGAAAAUAGCACUUAGGCGACAGAAUUAAAAAAUUCCGUCUCCUAAGUGGUACUAGUCCUCAUCAUUUGGCUCUUCGGCCAUAACCCGCCCUACCCUAUAGGGCCGAAGCCCCACUCGACCCUCCGUUAGGGCGGGCCGGCCCUAUCCCUUUUCAAUUAGGGUAGGGCAAGGGUCAAGCAAAUGAAACUCAACUCUACCCUAAUAAGCCCUUUAUGGCCAAGCUGGAAAACCCGCCCUUUAGGCCCCAUUAAUUUCUUAAUUUUCUAUUGUUUUUAAUAUGUUUCUUGUUUUUUAUACAAUACAACUAAUCUUCUUUUUUAUAAUUUAUUUUGUAAGCUUUAUUUCUUUAGUUUUUAUUUUGCUUUGUUAAAUAACAAUUGAUUUUUGAUGAUUUAAAGAGAUAGUUAAUUAGAUAUAUGAAUAUAACUACUUAGAUUAAUAAUUCUAGAUGUCUUAAGUUAAAUAUCAUGUAUAUGUAUGUUAAACAUGACUAAAAAUAGGGUCUUGUAUCCCUUGAGGUAAUUUUUGAGAAAAAAAAAAUUAAAACUAAUAAAUUUAUUUUGUACAAAAUAAUGUCAUAUUCAACCCAUUCGGCCCUAUUUAAUUAGUCCUAAAAUGCUGGCCCUACCCAGCCCUAUUAGCCCUAACGAAAUGGGUUUUAAGGGCGGGCAAGGGCUUGCAUAUUUAAGCCCCGGUCCGGCCCUAAAUUUUGUUGACCAACUCAAAGCUUUACCCGACCCUACUCUAAGCCCUAAAAUUUAGGGUAGGGCUGGCCCUAACCCGGUCCAUGAUGAGGCCUAAGUGAUACUUAAGCGACGAAAUUUUCUACUUAGGAGACGAAAUUUCAUUCCGUCGCUUAUGUACUACUUAGGAGAUAGAAUAUUUUUACUUAGACGACGACAUUUUGAAAAAAUAAAAAUUAAAAAGUUUAUAUGAAUUACUUAGGAGACGGAACUACAUUCUGUAGCCUAAGUAGAACUUAGGAGAUAGAAAUGUUUACUUAGGAGACGGAAUGUUUUUUUUUUAAAAAAAAAAUUAUGAAUCACUUAGACGACUGAAAUAGAACAUUUCGUCGCUUAAGUUCUAAAAAUUUGAGCGCCCAUCUUCCCACGUAAAAUUUCAUUAAAAUUCAAACCAAAAUUUUUCAAAACAUAUCAAUUCUUUUGAAUCACACACUCACCAACCUUAUCAAUAGAAUGAAACCCAUCUUUUCUCAGAGCUCUCUCUCUCUCUCUCUCUCUCUCUCUCUCUCCAGACCAUCACUCUCAUGCCGGCCUCUCUCUCCAUUCUCACCGCUCCUUCCUCCGCCACCACCUUCAACUACACCACCCCCACCUCCAACUGCCACAGGCUCAUCGACUUCGUCCCCACAAACGCCACCACUCUCAACGCUGUCAAGACCCUCUUCAACAUCACUCUGCCACCUCCACACCCUCCUCGGAGCCAACAACCUCCCCCUCUCGACCCAUCCCCGUCGCCAGCAAGCUCAUCGUCCCCUUCUUUUGCACCGAGCCUCAGAUUUGGGUCCGAUCUCCGCGACCACAGACGUCGUUGUCGUAACCUUUCUCUCUCUACCAAGCAUUCCCACCGACCCACCACCGUCCCUCAAAAUUUCAAAGGAGUAAGAAAUCAAGGUAAGUUCUUCAAUUUUUCUGGUUUAAUUAUCUUUGGUAUGUGUGUCACAUCCCGACCCUUAUAUUUUUUACCUUAUUUACUAGCUUGAUUAUAAUAAGAAUUUUACCGUCUCCGUCAUUGAGGUAAUUAUAGUUUAAUUGGUCCCUAGAGGGGUUUCGGGGACGAUUAUGUGCGGAGGAUUAUUCGUGGGAGGAAAAUAUGAUGACAGUAAAAAUGGUAAAUUUUAACUAGUAAAAGGUAAUUUUUAUUCGGGUAUUAUUUUUUCGGGGUGUUUUAUUUUGGAGUGGGUUGAUAUAUGAGUAUUGGACCGGUUUGGAGAGGCCUAAACCCAUCUCCCUCUUUUUCUUUUCUCUCUCUCUCUCCCAGUUUUCCUCCCAAGCCCCUCCCCCUGCUGGAAACUUCUUACCGUCCGUCUGCCGCCGUCCGGCCACCAUCCGUCGCCGCAUCGGUCCCAUUCGGUCGGUCUCCAACCCAGCAUCCUCCUUGGCCCGGUGACAGCUCCCCUAGCGUCGCCGUGAGUGAGGAACGACGCCCGAAGCCGUUGGAAGCCGUGGUGGUUCUCUCGCCGGAGCUCUCUCCUCCAGCCACCAAAAGCGGUGAUCCUUAGCUCGUUUUGUAGCCCUCCUCCCGUGCAGCUACCCUUCUAAAGAGCUCACUCUGACACGACCCACCCCGAAUUUCACCCUGAAACCCGGAGUAAGUCGUGCGAGGACCACCUCCAAGGAAAAUUUACUGAAAAGAUUGAGAAAAUCUCCCUUGAAAAUGGACAACCCUAACUCGAAAAUUCCAAAUUACACUCUUAAUACAACACGUCCAAACAUCACAUAAUUAUCCUUCAGAAAUUCUAAACAUAAUAUACAAUAAUCCCAAAGUAUUCAGAGCUACUAGACACUAGCGGAAGCAAGAAAACACUAGUAGGUUAAACAUGUAACUUACUGAUGAAAACUGGCGGAAAUACGGGUGACUAUGCCUCGCCUCCUACUAGAUCCAACCCGAACUCUGCAGACUAGGCAUUUUAAAAAGAAGGGUAUAGGGGAAAACAUUUGAAACCGUUAGAGUGAGUGGACAAAAAUAACUUUUUAAAAGAAAAUUAAUCUUUAUGCUUUCCCGAUUUAUCUUUAGUGGAAAAACAAUUAAUGACAUGCAACUAGCUCAAAAGAUUUUAAAAAUUUACCGAAUUAUCAAAACGUGACUAGCCGCGCUAGUCACCAACACUUCAAAAAUAAGAGCCUCUCAGGCUAAAAUAAAAUAUGUAUGUAUUACACUCGUCAUAUCUCUUGUAUGAAUUUUCUUGAAACAAUAAAGACAAAUAGAAAAUUCACACAAGGCUACGACGCUUGCGUCUAACGCUCACGUCGCACCAUAAUGGCAUUUUACCUCAUUAUGGUGGAAAAGACGGUGUAUAAAUUUAUAUACGCGCAUAUCCCCUAUAUAAAUUAUUAUAUUUAUAUAGGGCUACGACGAUUGCGUCUAACGCUCACGUCGCACCAUAAUGGAAUUUUACCUCAGUAUGGUGGAAAAGCACGUAUAGCUAGCUAGCAUUUCUCCAUAUACAUAUUAUUCUCAUAAACAUCCAAAUAUGGAUAUAUAUACAUACUCACUGAAAUUCUCAAUUUCGGUUAAUCUCUAACAACCUAAAUUAUUUUGCAUGCACAUUGUUUAAAAUAAAAGUCCACUCACUAAUUAGGCUUAAGCCUGAUGACGCUUCGAGGCUUCCUCUGCUCGGGCCUCCUCUUGUCCUGUUCCAAAAAUAUAGUUAAUUCCCCACUAAAAAUCCAAUAUUUAAUCCAAAUAGGCAAAAUUACCCGAGAGCCAUAAAUACGCUCAUCAUUGCCUAACUUCGAUAUUCUUCAAUUGAAACGAUCCAAACUUAAAUAUCAUACUUGACAGUCGUAAAUACAACCUCCCCAAAAUACGAUUUAAAUCCUAUGGCCGGAUUCUACAUUAAUUAACCGCCAAAAAUACCAAACUUCGGAAAAUCACAAACCUAUCCAAAUCUCAUCCAAAAAUUCCAUAAAUCACAUCAAUAUAAUCCCUUUAAUAUUCCACAUUUAAAACCCUAAAAAUCUCCCAAAUCGGCGGCAGCGGCGGCAGCGGCGGCCGGAAGCCAAUUCCGGCGACCUCCAAAACCUAUGAAAUUUUGAUAGAAUAAUCCUCUCAUCAUGCUCUACAACUUUCCUAACUAGCACAAACACCAAUUCCAAGCCUAACUAGGGCAAUCGACUAAAAACAUCAAAAACACCAUAAAACUUCCACCUCAAAUUUCUCCUUACCUAGCUCAAGAGGGAGUAAGUCCUUUUAGGGCAAGGCUGCUGGGUUGGAGGGCUACAAAACCGUACCAAGCUUGCCCGGAUUGGUGGCCGGAGGAGGGAGUUCCGGCGAAAUGCUUUCCGGCGUCUCCAGCGGGAUUUCUCCACUUCAGGCGGGUUAGAGGCUCGGGGGCUAGGCCGGGGAGGGAGUAGAGGAGAUGGGGGUCCGGAACUGAGAUGGAGAGGCGGCAGAUGGUGGCCGGACGGCGGCAGGAGGACGGCUGGAAAACCGGGCAGCGGGAGGGGCUCGGGAGAGAGAGGGAACCGGGAGGAGAAAAGAGAAGAAAAGAGAAAAUGGGUUUGGGCGUCACACCCCAAACCGGUCUAAGCUUAUAACAACCCAAUUCCAAAAAAUAAAACACCCCGAAAAAUAAUACCCGAAUAAAAAUUACCUUUUACUCGUUAAGAUUUUACCAUUUUUACCGUCGUCAUAUUUUCUCCUACGAAUAAUCCUCCGUACAUAAUCGUCCCCGAAACUCCUCUAGGGACCAAUUAAACUAUUAACUCAAUGACGGAGACGGUAAAAUUCUUAUUAUAAUCAAGCUAGUAAAUAAGGUAAAAAUAUAAGGGUCGGGAUGUGACACACUCUCUUGAGCUAGGUAAGGAGAAAUGUGGAGUUGAAAUUUCUAGGGCUUUUAGGAUGUUUUUAGUCGAUUACCUUAGUUAGGCUUGGAAUUGGUGUUUGUGCUAGUUAAGAGAGUUGUAGAGCAUGAUGAGAGGAUUAUUCUGUCAAAAUUUCAUAGGCAUUGGAGGUCGCUAGAAUCGGCCUCCGGCCGCCACUGCCGGCGGAGCCUGCGCCGGUGCCGGCGCUGUUUGGGAGAUUUUUAAGGUUUUAAAUGUGGAAUAUUAAGGGGAGUUUAUUGAAGUGAAUUAUGGAAUUUUUGGAUGAGUUUCGGAUAGGUUUGUGAUUUUCCGAAGUUUAGUAUUUUGACGGUUAAAUAAUGUAGAAUCCGACCGUAAGAUUUAAGUCGUAUUUUGGGGGAGGUUGUAUUUGCGGCUGCCGGUAUGUUCGGUGAAGUUUGAGCCAUAUUGAGUUAAGAAUGACGAAGUUGGGCAAUGAUGAGUGUGUGAGAGGCUCACGUUUAAUUUUGCCCAUUUUGUUUAAUUAUUGGAUUUUUAGUGGGAAAUUAAUAUUAUAUUUGGAACAGGACGUGAGGAGGCUCGAGCAGACGAAGGCCCCAGAUCGACAUCAGGCUUAGGCCAAAUUAGUGAGUGGACGUUUAUUUUAAAUAAAUGCAUGUUAUAGUUCAUGGUUGAACAAUAAAUGUUGCGGAAUAUUUUGACGUCAUUUUAAUUUGAUGAUUUUUAUUUAUCUUUGAGAGUUACCGAAAAUGGGAUUUUCGGUGGAUAUAAAUAUUUAUUUAUGAGAGAGUAUGUAUAUAAAUGCUACCUAGCCAUAUGUGUCUGUCCACCUUAAUGGCGUAGCAUAUAGCCGCAUUAUGGUGUGACGUGAGCGUUGGACGUGAGCGUAGUAGCCUUAUAUGAGUGUUUAAUUCACAUAGGGGGUAUGGACACAUAUUUAUACACCCGUCUGUCCACCUUAAUGGCGUAGUGUAGCAUCGCAUUAAGACGUGACAUGAACGUUGGACGCGAGCGUAGUAGCCCUAUAUAGACCCAUGAAUUUAUAUAGGGAGUAUGAACGUGUGUGAAUACAUACAUAUAUUAUAGAGUAUGAGAGGCUCGAUAUUUUAUGAGAUAAAAGUUUUCUUGCUUGCGGCAUGCAUUCGAUUUUUCCUUAGAAAUUAAUUUGGGGAAACAUAAAUAUUUUAUUUAUUAAUUUAUUUUUGUCCACUCACUCUAACGUUAUUAAAUGUUUUUCCUCUAGGUCCUUCGUUUUAAAAAUGCCCAGUCUGCAGAGUUCGGGUUGGAUCUAGUAGGAGGCGAGGCAUAGUCACCCGCAUUUCUGCCAGUUUUCAUCAGUAGGUUACCUGUUCAACAUACUCGUGUUUUUCUGCUUCUGUUAGAGUCUAGUAGUUCUGGAUACUUUGGGAUUAUUGUUUAUUAUUUCGGUGGUGUGCUCAGCUUGAUGAUUUGAUGUUUAGAAUUUCUGAAGGAUAAUAUUUGCUUUUAUUAGCUGGAUUUUUAUGUGAAGUAUGGACGUGUUGUAGUAAGAGUGUAAAUUUGAAAUUUUCGAGUUAGGGUUAUCCAUUUUCAAGGGAGGUUUUACCAAUCUUUUCAGUAAAUUUUCCUUGGAGGUGGUCCCCGUACGACUUAUUCCGAGUUUCAGGGUGAAAUUUGGGGUGGGUCGUGUCAAUGUGUUUUUGUUUAAUUUGAUUUUAAUUUUGGUUAGGAUGUGAUUGGUAUGAUGGUGAUGGCAUGGUGGUUAUUUGGUACGGUGGUGGUGCUGGUGGUGGUAUAUUUGGGGAAGAUUGUUGGCAUAAAAUUGAAAGGGAGAUACUUACUCUAUUGAAGUUUACUGCCCCCCAGUAAAAAUUUACUGGGGGGCAGUAAACUUCCAUUGGGUAUACUAGGGGGCAAUGAAUUUGUUUAUUAGGGUAAGAAUGGGUAUUUGUUGUGUAUAAUUGGCAUAAAAUUGAAAGGGAGAUAUUGUAUUGAAUUUUAUUGAUCCUCAGUAGAAGUUUAUUGUCCCUAGUAAACUUCUACUGGGUUCACUAGGGGCCAAUAAAGUUGUUUAUUAGGGUAAAAAUUGGUAUCUGUUGUGUGUUGUGGCCCUGAAAUUGAAAGGGAGUUAUUUUUUGCAAGUUUACUGAUCCCCAGUAGAAGUUUACUGGGGGACAGUAAACUUUAUUUUUUCCAUAUGCAGUUUAUAAAUAUAAGUUUUUACUACUUAUAUGCAGGAUGAGAAGAAGUUCAAGACAUUUAGUUGUGACUUCUGAAACCUGCGGUGGUGGUGGUAUUUGAGGCGGUCAGAGUGAGUAGAUAAAAAACCUGCGGUGGAGUUUUUAAUUUUUUUUUCAGCCUUUAGCGACGGAAUUCAACUAUUCCGUCUCCUAAGUGGAUAAUUUUUCUUUAUUAUAAAAUAAAAUCCGUCGCCUAAGUUCUUAGGAGACGGCUCCUAAGAACCACUUAAGAGACAGAAUUUUAGGUUCCGUCGCCUAAGUGUCUACAUCACCACACUUAGCCGACGGACGUUCCGUCUCCUAAGUACUUAGGAGACGAAAUCUGUCACUUAGGAGACUAAAUAAUUCCGUCUCCUAAGUGCUUUUUUCUAGUAGUGAGAUACACGUCGUGUACUGAAGAUGUUCUCUCAUACAUCGACACAUGUGAAAUGCACAAACUACACAAACGAAUAACAGUGGAUUGGUUUGGGCCGUGUGGCAAAUGGGCUUCUCAGCCUGGAUAGUAACUGGAAAGUCAAAGAGGCUACUUCUCUCGGCCUCCCAGUUUCAGUUUCCUCGUACUUCUCUGUUUAGAGCAAGAUAGUACGAUCAUGGCGACUCAACCUACUGAGACCCCCAAGACAAUUUAUGACUUCACUGUUAAGGUAAAAAGCUUAAAGGUUUGUAUUCAAUCAGUUUCUGCUAUAAAUUUUAGAUGGGUCUGUAAAUGUUCAUUGAAAAUGUGAAUAAAUUAGGAAGUUGAUGGUAUUUCUGAUGACAUUUGAUUGUGUUUAAUAUGCUAUGUUUCUAAAUCAUUGAAGAAAUUUGAUUGCUUUUAUCUUACUCUGGUUGGUAUUCUCAUAUUUAGAAGUUUAUCUUUUAGUCUGGUUGGUUUGCAUGUUUGGAAGGAUGAGAGAGUAAGAAAUCAAUGGAAUUGUGAUUUUGUUGAAGUCUGUGUUGGAAAAUGGAAAAUGAGUUGAAGAAGUGUUCUUUGUAGAUUCAAUGGAUUGAUUUUGCAAUCGCUUUGAUGGUUGAUUUGGUUUGUUUGUUAAUGCAGGAUGCUAAGGGGAAUGAUGUGGAUCUUAGUGUGUACAAGGGAAAAGUUCUACUGAUUGUCAAUGUUGCUUCCAAAUGGUAUUCACCUCAUCAACGCCGAUUCUCGCAUUUGCUGUUUCUUUCUUCUAUUGUUCACUGCUGUUUUCUUUUUGUGUUGAUUUGUUGUAGUGGACUGACCAAUGCAAAUUACACGGAGCUGAAUCAACUAUAUCAACAAUAUAAAGACCAAGGUUUUGAACAAGUUUAGUAUUAUAAAUUUGACUGUUUUGCAUAAAUGACACUGACAAUCUUAACUUAUAUCGGAAAACCAAGAACUCUGACGGUUUUCCCUCAUCAUAUGCAUACGGCUAGUACAAAAGUUCAUUGAAAUUUACUUUUGUGGUUGUUUGCCUUUUAUGUAUGCUAUACUGGUUGGUGCAGGCUUGGAGAUACUGGCGUUUCCAUGCAACCAGUUUGGUGAAGAGGAACCAGGAAGUAAUAAAGAGAUUGAAGACUUUGUCUGCACUCGUUUCAAAUCAGAAUUUCCAAUUUUUGACAAGGUAAAUUUUGAAAGUUAUGCUGCAUCCACUUUCCCACACUUCACUUCUAUUCUUCUUAUAGGCAGACACAAGGGGUUUCAACCAUAAGCUCCUCUAUUGUCUUUGUCUAAUGAUGAGGAAGUGCAUUACCAUCUGUGCUUGGCAACAAACUUAAAUCUACUCAUUUUGAUCCAUUGAGGAACUCUCUUUUUAACAAAUUUCGUUUCAGUGGUUUCAAAUAUGCUAUAUAAAGUAGUGAGUAGACGAGUAGUUAUGCUAGCUAAUUGACCAGCUAUUAACUGUAUUGCAAAUUAGUAAUUGACAUGUCUUCUUUCCUCCAGCCAUGUGAUAGCUUUGAUGUAGUUUUGUCAUCUUGUUGGAUGCUAUUCAUGUUUUCACCAUCUCUUGUUUAUGUGUUAGAUCGAUGUAAACGGUGACAAUGCUGCUCCACUGUACAAGUUCUUGAAGUCGGGCAAAAGGGGAGUCUUUGGAGAUGACAUUCAAUGGAACUUUUCGAAGUUUCUAGUUGACAAGGAUGGUAUAGUUGCUCACCGGUAUUACCCUACAACUGCCACCCUUAGCCUUGAGGUAAAAGCUCAGAUGUCUGGUUCUUCAUUUCGAUAAUGUUAUGCUGAUGUUUUAUCUUAUUUUGAUAAUCUACCUAUAGAUGAAAAAUGAUCGCCUUUACAUACCAAACUUGUUUUGCAGUGCGACAUAAAGAAGCUGUUGGGAGUUUCAUGAGUGCAAAGAUCGGCUAUAUGAGCAUUUAUGCUUGCUAUUUGUACCAGGAAGUGGAAGAAGGGCUUGCUUUUGAGUUUUUGUGCCGUUUGAAAGAGACAUUAAGGUUGUAUCUGUACGACUGUACAUGUCAUAUCAAACUGAGCAAAACCAUUUGUAAUGUAUGAUUUGAUUUAGUCGAAAUUCAGACUCUUGAAAUUACACUACCUUUUCACUGGAUGAAAUCGGUCCUAGUAGCAAGGCAGCAUUCUUUCAGACUACAAGUCUUACUUAGAUCAUACCUGGUACAGGGAGCACAAGAAAGUGCUCUAAAUGAAUUGAAGCAUCAGAGCAUAGAAUUUGCAUCCAUCAGAACUAGUCUUAGAUCAUUACGAUACAUCAAAAUUUAUGCAAUGAAACAAUUAACUAGAAAAAUAGGUUAGUGAGUAGGCAAUCGUGCACUCUUUGUUAAUCGGUGUUUGCCUGUUUGGUAUUUGAUACAUAAUUAUUUUCUUGAUGUAUAUUGUAAUCUAGACCUGAGAGCAGCUGCACCAGCUCUAUUUCGGAAAAAAAAAAAAAAAAAAAUUCUAGUAAAUUAGGAGAAAUGUCAAGGACCUAGACGUCAUUUUCAAAGUCAAAUGAGAAUUUUCUCCAUGUUCCUAAGAGCCGCUUAUUAUAUGUUUGCUGAUUCUGUCACUUAUUGUCUUAUUCUACUCCAGAGUUCAACCCAGAAAAUAGGAUGGCAACCUCUGAGGCCACAAAGACGAUCUACGACUUCACUGUCAAGGUAAUCCUAUGUUUCAUCUAGUUUAUGCUAUGUUAUAAAGGACCUGGGUCUUCAAAUGUUCUUCAAAAUGUGAUUCUUUAGUAGGUGGAUAGUUUUGACUGCGGGAUUGUGCUGAUUAUAAACUUUUCUCUGGAAAUACUUGUCUAAGAUUAAAACUUUGAAUGAUGGGCUUCCUUUUUGACAUGUUUGAGAUUUUCUGUUCCUUGGUCUAGUCGAUUGUCAAGAAAGAAGCAUAAUUGAAAGUUUCUGGGGUGAAAACUGUUUGAACUAUAUUCUCACUAGGCACCCUCAAUCAAUGAAGAUACUCUACUUAGUUUACCAAAUGUUCAACAAUUACUUAGACGAUAUACAACUGUUUUGAUCCACUGAGUUCCUGAAAUUGGAACAUUUAGAAAUUGUGAUUGGAAUGUGAAGGGAAUGUUUGGUUUCUGUUGAAUCUAUGUGGGAGGUUGGAUUGAGUUGAGAAAUUGAUGUUCCUUUAUCAAAUUUUGUUGCUCCUCGGAUGGAUAUUAAUUUGAAUGUUAGUGCAGGAUGCUAAGGGGAAUGAUGUGGAUCUUAGCGUCUACAAGGGAAAAGUUCUGCUCAUUGUCAAUGUUGCUUCCAAAUGGUAUCUUCAUAUCCGUGCUUCUCAAAUUUUUUUCUUCUUUAAUGAAAUAGAAAAGUUAUUAUCUUUUCACUUCGUUUUCCGCUGAUUUACUGCAGUGGACUGACAAACUCAAACUACACAGAGCUGAAUCAACUAUAUGAAAAGUAUAAAGAUCAAGGUGUAAAUUUUAAACACUACUAUUGUUCUUUCAUACCUAUCAUUUUGAGAACCAUUGGAAACUGUAAUGUAGUAACCAGUUUAGGAAGUUUAUUGUUAAGCUGACAUCAUCAAGUUUUUUAUAUUUGUCAUGUGGGUUAUGUUUCUUGAUUACUUCCUCUCUCUAGAAUGUGCAGAUCUGCUGCUUGUUUCAUUUUCAUAUAAAUUUUCAUUGUUUUGCUGCUUUUGCAUAUGGAACAGUCUUACUUUAUUAGAGAAACACAGUGAUCUGGGUGUAAAUCAGAAAUGACCUUUUCAAAUGUAUUAUAUCUAGUUCAGAAGUUCUGAAUCCAACCCUUUUCACUAUUUUUUUCUUUUGUUUGAUUUACUGUGGGUUGAUGCAGGAUUUGAGAUACUGGCAUUUCCUUGCAAUCAGUUUGCUGGACAGGAACCGGGAAGUAAUGAAGAGAUUGAAGAGUUUGUCUGCACUCGUUUCAAAUCAGAAUUUCCGAUAUUUGACAAGGUAGAUCCUGAAAAUGUUGUAGCAUUAACUAUCCCGUUACUCAAAACUGUUACAAUUUUCUGCCUGUCGUCAAAAGGUUUUCCGACCACAAGCUCAUUAUUGUUUCUGUAAAUGAUGUGGAAGCAUGCAACACUCAUUUCCGUCAUUUAGAGCAUAGCUCUGUUUAUAAGUUUUAGGUUAAAUCAAGUGGAAUAGUAGUAGUAAAUGACUACUUACUUGUAAUUCCUUUUGAGCUAUUGCAAGUUUAGAAAGUUUGUACCUGCUGUUCCUCUGUUUAUUUCAACUAGAAUCUAAUAGCUUCACGAGUUCAUGGUCAUAAUUAAUGUGAGAUGUGGUUUAUAAUUUGAACCUCGUUUGUUAUUUUGUUAGAUUGAAGUAAAUGGUGAUAACUCUGCUCCACUGUACAAAUUCUUGAAGUCGGGCAACUGGGGUUUCUUUAAAGACGAUAUUCAGUGGAACUUUUCCAAAUUUCUAGUCGACAGAGAUGGGAAAGUUGCUGAUCGCUAUUAUCCUACAACUGCCACCCUUAGUCUUGAGGUAAAAACAAGAUGUCUGGUUCCCGAUUUUUAAUUUAUUGUGUUGCGUUGCUGUUUAGUGUGGUAUAUCAAUUAUGAGAGUAGAGUUUUUCAUGUCUGCAACAUAACCUUUUAAUAUCGUACUUUUUCUGCAGCAUGGCAUAAAGAAGCUGUUAGGAGUCUCAUGAAUGCUGAAAUAUGAAGGCUUCAACGGGUCACAGCACAGUUAAGCAGUAUGCAUAUCGCUUUUGUGUAUGAAAGGAAAAAAUAAAAUUAAAAAGCUUGCUUUGUGUCUCCAAGACUAGUUAAUAUUGGAUUAAGCACAGUCGUUCCUAUCAGUUCCUCCAACUGAAGAAACAUGUUUAUUUCUUGUGUGGAUGUUUGAUGAUGAUCAUAUCUGCUAGUGUGGUAAAAUAGUUCAGUAGAUAUAAUCUAGAUUCAAAUCUUGAAAUUCUGCUUGGUUUGUUGCAACAUUUCAAAAGGAAACCUCAUUCCCCUGUCGACUAUACUCACACUCAUGGCAUAUAUUAUGCAUGUUAAUCGGAAGAAGUCUAGAAAUCAUCAUGGUCCAUAGAAUUUUGAUUCAACUGAAAAAUAAAUACCUAACAUUGAAAGAGACUAGUAAAUGUUUUUUGAGGACAUAGCAUCUGAUAUAUCAUGUCUUGCUCAGAAAGUUGGCUGAGUCCAUACAUAUGGUUUCUGAACGUGACAUGAGUUCGGUAUGAAUGGUUGGACUUCCCUAUCUUCCAUACUAAAAACUCCCAGCUCAAAAUGAGUCCGAGUAGAUUUACUACUCCGAUGUCUUGCAAAGUAUAUGCAAUUGGCCUUGCAACCAGAAGAGCCUGAGACCUCUAUGGAGAAGGAAGAAUUUCUCAAACUUAGAAACAAGGCUCGGUUCCCCAAGUUCUUUACCUCCUCCGCUUCCAACCAGUUCCCACUACUAAGUGGCACCUCAAAAACCCUAAACCCAUUUUGACAAGUGUGUUCAAGCCUUAAAACCAACAGUAAGGCACCACCUGAUUCUACCAGGUACAGUUGAUUUACACUAUAUCUACUCCUCCAUGUUGGACUCUCUGAAACAGCCACCUUAUUUGCUGUUGCAUCCUCCGGGUCAUCAAUGUCAAAAACCAACACACGGCCAUCGGAGUCGACGAUAUAAAAUUGUCCUCUGUAAUAAGCUAUAUCAUAAGAUCGCCUAUCUGAAUCCCAAUCCCAUGUAUCUAGUUUUGAUGAUAUAAAAUUCCAUUCCUUGUCCUUGGGUCUCCAGAAAGCGAACUCUCCCCCGUGAUCAGUAGAAACCAUGACUGUGUAAUCUGAUGUCAGAGAAGGACUACAUGAUAACACAAACUUACGUAGAGACCCAAAUUCAAAGGUUGGUAGCACAAUUUCUUCAUGUUUGAAAGGAUGCAACAGAUAAAUAUGUCUCGAAUCAGAAGUACUCAAAUGUCUAGAUGAUGCAGUGAUGAACCAUCCAAGAGAAGACAUACAAAAGGGCUUUAAUUGACGACGUUGAGUGAUGGUCUUUGGUAUAUUAAACCUAGAAACCUUACCUUUUCUGAGGUUGUAACACUGGCCGGGAAUAGGAUUACUAUUGUCCUUUAUACCUGGAAGCAUAGUGGAACUUGAUGUGUUAAUCCAGGAGUAAAGUUUUCUUUGGUGGCGGCAGAACUCCAUGGUUUACAAACUGCGCCAAAAAUGACGAAGUCUUGCAUCGAAUCUAUUUUUCGGGAGAUACACACAACAAGCUCCUGAGGAAGAUCAGACCAGUUAGCCAUUGAUGACUUGCAAGACAUUGGUUCCAUGGAGGAUUAUACGCACCAAAAUUUGUCUGCUAGGGUUCUCAACAAGCUUUAUCGAACAUGUUAAGCUUUAUUGAUCAUGAAUUCAUGAUUAACAUAAAGCCCACCAACGGGUCUGCCUUUUGAACCCAACUUUUCGUUGGCCCAAAUGUGAUGCAGUAGGCAACACCAAAGAACCUUGGUUUUUUAACUUUUUUGUUUAUUUUUAACCUAAUAUAUGCCGGAAGAUCAUGUCGAUCAAAACGUUUUAGCCUCUCUGGCCAUUAAGAAUAAAUCGGUAUUUAACUUCAAUCAAUAUCGGCGAAUUUUGAAUCUAAGUAAGGGUUCGAUACCUAGGCUCUUACCAACUCGAGGUGGUGGUUGUAGGUUGGAGGGCCUAAGUUCCACUCACAAACAUUUUCAUGUAGCUCUUUUUUACUACUGUAAAUAGUUCUCAACUCAUUUACGAUUGAAUUCAAGUUUGAUGCUCAAACCAAAUUUGACUAAAUCUCAAGUUCUCAACAACCUUGACCAUUUUGAUACAUAGCAGCUGAUAUCUCAAUCUCCACAUCAGCUGAUAAAUCUGCUUGACACACAGCAGCUAGCUAGGAUCGAUCCUACUUUCCUGGUCACACUACUUGAAAGUUCCUAUUCUUUAGGGGAAGUAGCUAGUGAAACUUAGAUCCUGGAUAGGUAACCCCAAAAAGAAAAGAAGUGCAACAUGACCUAAUUGAAGAUAUAACAAGCUACUAGCUAUUCAUCUAGAGAUAUCAAUUUUUUUUACAAUGUUGGAAGAACAGCUAACAGAAGUCCAUGAUGCUAAAGGAACAAGCUUCCUCAAAACUUGCUUCAACAUGAUCAAUGGCCUGACAGGUUCUUAUUUUGAUUAUUCCUCCAUUUCUGUUUGAUUAAUUUCUCGCUUGUAAUAUAUGCUUAAGAUUAUCCAAUUUGAAUUCUAGGACUCGGGCUCAUUACAACCCCUUACGCAGUUUCGAGGACUGGUUGGUCAAGCCUUCCUUUUCUUAUAGUUAUUGGAAUGAUAAGUUGCUAUGCUGGGAUCUUGCUCACCAGAUGCUUGGACACCGAUGCAUCAAUGAAGACCUAUCCUGAUGUUGGUUUCCAUGCAUUCGGGUCUAAAGGCAGAAUAUUCGUGUCCAUUUUCCAGUAUCUAGAGCUUUACCUAAUCCCAAUAGGAUUCCUGAUAAUGGAAGCUGAUAAUUUAGAAAGGUUUUUCCCACAAGCUGGGAUCAAUCUAGGUGGACAUCACAUAGGGGGAAAACCAUUUUUUACAAUGGUUGUGGGGAUCAUUAUAUUACCUACAAUGUGGUUGAAACACCUACGGUUUCUUGCCUACGUCUCAAUGUGGGGAUUUGUAUCUGCCAUUACCAUUGUCGUGUCGAUUGUUUGUGUUGGUGUCGAUGGAGUAGGGUUCUCUAAAAGAGGGAAGAUGUUUGAUCCGACUGGACUUCCUACCUCUCUUAGUUUGUUUGCAUUUUGCUAUGGAGUUCAUUGCGUCACUCCCUCCGUAUACUCCUCUAUGAGACAUAAAAACCAAUUCUACAAGGUAUGCAACUUCUACCAAAUUACCUUUUGUUACCAGUUAGUUUGAGUUUGACUGUUUGAGUACUCAAUUCCUGAUUUAUAACCGUUGCGUGUGCAGAUUCUGUUCAUCAUUUUUUCCAUCUGCACUAUGAACUACAUAGUUCUAGCUGUUCUUGGCUACUUAAUGUUUGGUGAUGAUGCUCAACCUCAAGUGAUAAUGAACCUGCCUACAGGUAAAAUAAUAUCAAAAGUAGCAAUAUACACCACUCUAGCGAUCCCAAUCAUCAAGUUUGCACUCAUAAUGACACCUAUAACAAAUGCCAUUGAAAACAGCUUGCCGAAAGAUUGGAAUAACAUGUUCAUUUUCAUGUUCAUCAGAACACUGCUAUUAGUGAGCACAGUGGUAUUGGCCAUAGCUUUUCCAUAUUUUGACACACUGUUGGCACUAGUUGGAGCCAUUCUUUGUGUCACUAUGUCCAUGUUGGUUCCAUGUAUAUGUUACCUGAAGAUAUUCAGACUAUACCGGAAGUGUACCGUGGAAGUUGCAAUAAUUGGAUGUAUUAUGGUUAUCAGUGUGACUAUGGGUGGACUAGGUACAUACACAUCUAUCAAAGAGAGAUUUUCAUGAAGAAUCAUGUUGUCCACCAGUGUUCCUUUUAUCCUUUAGUAUGCUGUAAUGAGUGUAAUCUGUGUAAAUAUAACGGCGUGUUGUUAACUAUGUGAUCAUACACAUAGUAUACCGUCAUGCCUAUGCCUAUGGCUUACCCACAAAUUUGCUCCACUCAAGCAGAGCAAUGUUCUGCUCUAACUGAACAUUUGCCCCAGUUUCUGCAGAAAAAUCUGCCCUCACUGCUGUGUACACAAAGAGGGUUCCCUAUAUAUUUUUGAAAGUUUAACAUGACUAAACUAAACUUCAGAGAUUCUUUUAAAAGGUUACUUGUAUAGGGGAAAAGGUCAGAAAAGAGUUAUAUUUCAGACACUCAGUUAAAACAGAUGUUCACCAAUGUGAUACAGCUUCCAAACAAAAGGAACCAAAUUGAGACAAGUGCAACAACAGGAAGAGGGGUUUUCAGCCAUUCUUCUUUAACUACGCAUAAGCAGAAUAUAAGUUGUUCAAGACAUCUGAGAAGAAACCUCAUUCAGCAAUCAUCAUUCUGGAUUGAGAACUACUGCAUAAGCAUUUUUGAUUUCAUAUGAAGUUUCAACCAAAAGGCUGAAAGAAUUUCUUUGCUACAGAUGAGAUGAGUGUCUUAAUCGCCACACUACUUGGACCUCACACUAACUGAAACUUCCUCAAUGAGUUCGUAAUGUUGCUAAAAUAACCCUCGGGAUCAUAGCUUUUGCUACAGAUUAUGUUAGCACAGACUUGUUACCCACUAGUGGGUGAACAAGAGUUGUAAUGUUACAAUUCUCAGAGAUUCAGUUGAUUUACAACAACACAUAUAUACAAAACUGGUGCAUGUGUCUGUUGCAGCAUUAUCUUCAUCCGCGAGUCAAGUCAAUACCAGUGUGAGCAUUUCUUGCAUCAACUAGCCGCCCACCAGGCCAUAUACCUGCUGUGGAUGGAGCAUAAUUUUGAGUAGAUGGAGCUGUUGUCGGUGAAGGUAGUUUCUCACUGUGCUGAGGCUCAGAACUCUCCCCAUUAUUGGGGCCAGGCAGCGGCUUGCUCUUGAUCUUGUUGGAGCUACCAUAUACAAAACUGCAAAGCACAACCUGUGAAAAACAUGGAUUAGACCCUCUGCACUAUCACCAGAUGCACCUCCACAUACCAUUAGAAUUCAAGAUUUCCUAGUCGACUGUUUUUCAAUCAUAUAAGUUAUCAACCAAACAUACCCAUUUUACACACAUCACAUUUCACAUCACAUGUACUUGCCAGUAUGUGUACAAAACUUAUCAUCAGCUCUAAAACUAGACAAUGAACAAGCUACCUGCACUGGAGAGGCUGCAAUAAGCAUAGCCACAGCACCACCAAUGACAUGACCAUCAGAACUAGAAAGGGAAACACUUAUGCCCCCUGUUCGAUCGCGCGGGCCACCAUCCUCCGCAACCAAGUAAGAACCUGACAAGCAUAAUAUCUGGAAACGACCCUGCAAAUCCAUUUCUACAGUUGAGUCUUUGGAAAAAUUUAGACUACGAAGAAUUGUCACUAUCAAGCUGUUAAAUAAACAGGCAACAGCCCUCAAUGAUUUUUAUUUUUGUUUGACCACCACAGACAAACAACCAAGUAUUUCCCUGAACAAAUAGUACAGCAAUGCAAUCAAAUCUUAUUACAACAACAGGUACUACCAGCACUAGCACUUGAUUCAAAAACUUCACAACUUUUGACAACAUAUGAUUUGUUCUGCUCCAAUUGUAUGCCUAGAUUUGUUUGCUCACGCUUCAAUUGAUCCAAACCAGUCAUUCUACAUGGUUUUCUCAUUAUCACAUAUAUUACUGGUCUUCUCUACCAGAAAAACAUAUGUUCAGAGCACAUUACACUACUCUCUGGUGCUGACACCUCUUGAACCAGUCUUUGCACUAUCUAUUCCAAGCAUGGAAGUACAGCCCUCACAAAGAUGGUAAUUGCAAUCUUUGACUAAAGUGGCCUACGUACAAUAUAAUAUUCCAAGCGCCCACCCAAUAAAUCACUCCAAACCCAUCAUAACUUAAAACCCAAACCUCAGGCAACUCUAGAGUUACUUUUCCUUUCAUUUUCUAAACAUGGAUAGAUUCCCUGCCUAAUACCCUUCCUUUUUGUCUCUUUGCAAUAGUAUGUAUGAUUAGUUCUGAUUCUAGUGGUGGCCCUUUUCAAUGUGUAUAACACUGCUCUUCUUGCAGUAUAUAUAUGGUACAUGGUUAUUUUUCUACUGAUCUUGUAAAACUAAACAAAUGUUCAAAUUAUGAAGACAAACCAAUUUCAAAUGUGCUAAACUGUAACCAGCCACAGACUUGACACAACCAGCCUCGACAGCUCUUUGCAACCACAUAAGAUGCAAUGUUACACAGACUAAACUACGGUACCAACAACAAAUGCUUUGCAAAGACAAAGAAGAAAAUACAGCUUUAUAUGCUAAUUUUGGAAUGGAAAUUCUCGAAAUCUUCAAAGUCUAACAAAGAAGGAAAGGCAAGUAAGAUGGAGUUAAGACAGAGUUGAGUGCUUCAACCUCAUAUGUGACACUGACACCAGUUGAUGCAGGCUGACGCAGUGCUACUGAAGAUACUGUUCCAUUUCCUGACAAGACACACAGUGCCCUAGGCCUCUGUUGUGAAAAUAACAACAAUUUUGCUACAAUGUCCUACAAAAAAAAGAACAAGAAUUACUUUUAUUAAGAGCACAAGAACAAAUGUUGCUACUAAGUCUAUUAACAUCGAAAAAUCAGUCAAAACUAUUCAACAAAAGGACUCUAUAAAGAGCUGCUGACAUACACAUGUAAAUAAGCAGGAUGCUGAAAUUUGUGUACUUGCAUAUAAAUUGGUCUAAUGUGUGUUUUAACUUUCUGCAGGCAUUUAGACUGACAAGUCCUUGCACAAUUCCCAUUUAUAUGGAGGUUCAAAUGCUAAGGUCUUGUUUUAGUUUUAUAGACCAACCCUGGACUUAUAACAAUAUCUAUGGAGGUUUGAAUAUAACUGGUCAGGCAUCAUACAGAAUUUUAACAGCAGCAUUCCCGUUUACCGAAGAUAUUCUGAUCCAGAAAUUCCCCAAAAAUGUUGUAAGAACUAAGAACUAUAUGGACUACAACUUCUAGUUAGUUAUGUCAGGUAAAAAAAUCAGGGCUGGUAAAGCAUGAUCAUUGAAAAUGUUCGGCUACCAAUCUGUUUUCACUUCCUUAGGCAUCAGAAAACAACAACAAAACAAUGCCACCUCUUAUGUCUUGAACUAUCAAAUGCAAAAUAGCGGAGCAGUUCAUUCUUGAGCAGAACAUCACAUUUGUGCACCUUAUUUUAGGGGAUAGAAUUAGGCAUCUUUGUAAUAUUUAAACUAACAGGCAAACCUCUCCAGCUUCGAUGGUGAUAACAUGGGGUGCAAAAGCCUGUCCAGCCGAACUGUUCAUCCAUUCCCCUACAAAAACAGUUCAACAUACAAACUACUAAGUACAUGCAAAAACAAACAGGGAUAAAGACGUUGUUCCAUAACCAAAAAGUAAAUGAUUGAGCUUGAGGAUCUUCAAAUAACUAAUACAGAUAACUUGACAGAAGAGAAGUUAAAAAAAAAAAGUGUCACAGACUACACAAAUUCCAAGAUCUAAGCCAUGACUUCGUUUCUGCAUGGAAUGCAGUUCACAGCUUAUGUAUAUUUGGUAAUGUUUCAGCUAAUACAAUUGAUGUCAUUUAGCAAAAGGAGAACAGUUGAUUAACAGAAGUGCAUGAAUUAACCACCAAUUAUAGAAGCCAUAAUUGAAUAAGAUUUAUAAGAAACUAAUCAAUGCUAACAAGCCCUUGGUCCCCCGCUAGCUAUCCCACUAAAUCUAGUAAACUAAAACAAAAGCCACCACCAUAAAAUCAAGUUGUACACAAAAAUGGAAUUAGAUGUUGCACAGAACUUUACCAAGAUUAGCCAACUGUUGUUUCCUGCCGGUCCCAGGUGGCCUUCCCCUGUUUCUUUUCGGGGUCGGUGAGGUUGAUCCUGGAGUAGGAUUAGGAGUUGAAGACAAUGGAGACAAUGCCAGCGAAACCGGGGCAUCAGGACCCUGACCCUGACCGGAACCAAGACCAGGCCCAUAUUUCCGGGGCCUCCCUCGUUUCUUCUUCACAGGCUCACUCGAAGGAGCUCCAGGAGAACCACUCAUGCUAAUGCCAUGAGGAUAAUUGGGUCUAGAAGGCUCUGCUGAGAAUGUUGAUCCCACAGAGGUGGCUCUCACAUUAGACUGAGCUUGCUGAAAGGUAGCGUUGUUGUUGGGUCUGAACCCAGGUGGUGCAUGCAACCCAGCAAUCUGUGAUCCAGGUGAAGACCCACCAUGGCCUCCCCUAUGGAUGUAGUAGGAAGCUUGAGCACCAGAGAUGGCCAUGGCUUCUCUCCCAUCCAUGCAUUUACCAAGAAAGCUUAAACCUUUAAAGCUUCUCCCCAAUUUUGGAAAUCUCAAAAUCAAAAAGAGGGGGUAAAGAUCAGAACUUUAGCCCCAAAUCUUCAAGAUAGAGUAACCCAGUGAGCUCCUAGAACUGGGAUUCUAGAAGGGUUUUGCUUCAAGUUGAGAAGAAUCUAAAAACCCAAGUAAAAAUUUGAUCUUUAGCAAGAAAACAAGAGAAACAAAGUGAAGUCAGAGCUGGAACAGAGGCACCCACAGAGACCCAGAAGAGGAAAAGUAAAAUGCAGAAGAAUCAGAAGCUGAGGUAGUAACAGGGGAGCUAGGAUUGAAAGGUAGCAGGUGUGAAAUAAGAACAAAACCCUAGAUUUGAAAUCUAGGGUUUUGACAGGAAAUGCAGAGAGGAAGGUGGAAAAGGGGAAAGGGAGGGGAGGAAAGGACAAGGGAGGAGAGGAGAGGAGAGGAGAGAAGUAGAGGAAGAGGGGUUGGGGAGGAAAAAUGAAUUGAAAAUUUGAGCUUUUGAAUUAAAGGGAAGGGUGAGAGAGUGUGAACUAGUAAUGUAAGAGAGAGAGAGUAGAGACCUUUUCUCUUUCUUUAUUGUAAUUUUAAGUGAGAGGUGGGGUGGCUGUAAGUAUCUGACCAUAUUGAAAGGAAAGGACUAAUACAAUGGGAAAGACAGUCUGUGACCCACCAAAGUACCAAACUUACAUGUCCUUAUCACACUGCCCUUUCCUGGGGCAUAGAGCCCCUCUCAUCUCUCUAUCUCUCUCCUCCCCCUCUCUGGUUUUCUCUUCUUUCUUCUUUGUUUUCUUCUCCUAAAUUGACCUAGACUUGCAAAUAUGAGAUAGUAGUUUGCAGUGCACUGGUGCUAUGUACUUGCUACAGAUCACUAAAGAAUUUUAGUGUAAAUUUGUAUUAGAGGAUGAUACUUAUAAAAAUUUGUUGUUUAGUGAUAUUGUAGUCAAAAAAUUAGAUUGCUGACAAAUAACGGUCGGUUUUAUAUCAACUAAAACGCGUAAAUUAUUUAUUGAAAGUUUGUUACAUUAUUGUAUAAAAGUCGAAUUUGAUUGUAUCAUGAUUUUGUUUAUCAUUUUCGGCACAUUCAUUUAGCAGAUCCUGAUAAUAUGGAUUACUAUUCAUAAAACAAACUUCAUGAUAAAAUUCAACAUAAGUAUUUGCUAAAUCUAAUGGGGACCAUUAUUGAAUUAGGGUGCUUCAAAUGCUGAGUUUCUUUUGUCCAGAAAGAAUUAUAAUGUGUGUGGUAGGAGCCAAAAACAAAUAUGCUGUUCUUUUUGGGCUGGUCUAGAAGGACAAACCAAUCUGGAAAAUGAUUAACUAAAGAAAUUGAAGAAGCAUCAAGCAUAUUGAAGCUGGAAAACUUUGUUUAUUUCAUAACGCAUUAUAUACUGGUUUCUCUUGUCUGUAUUACAGAUUAUACACUUUAAAAUUUCUUGGAAAAUGAUAUGAACUUAUGAAGUCACAAAUUGCUCCAGAUGGGGAAAAGGACAUGGAGCUGAAUGGUGUAAAAGAGGUCGUUUUUCUUCUUCUGAUUCUGAUGUGAAUGUGAUCGCCUUUGGUGGGUAGUUGUAUGAAUGAGCUGCCUGCUGCAGGCUGCUCAGUUUUGCUGUGCUUAUUAAACUGCUCUGAGACAAAGCCUAUUAGCUCAGUCAUGGACUUUCAACCUUAUAAACAAAUCAAUCAGUGAGUGAUUAGCGUGGUCAGUCAACAAAGUGCAUGAUUUUGUUGAAUUAGUUGGUACAAUCAGAAAGAGAAAGAUAUGUUUUCAAAAGCUAAACCCCACAUGACAUUCACCUUUCAAUAGUCACUACCAACUUGUUAAACUUAAUGUUUUGCAUCAUCUUUAGAUUAAUGUUGGUUCAUUUCAUUAACAAGCUACACUUUUUUUCGUGUAAUUUGAAGAACAUCUACUGAAUUUAGAAAAAUGAUCGAUCAAAAACUAGUAAAUUUGAAAUAAUGAAAAAGGGGAAUCCUUUAUGGGCCAUACUGUAUGUGCUUUUGCUUCUUCAGUGGUAUUUAUAGCUAAGAACCCUUGAUCAUUGAGUGCCAAGAACACUUCGAUGUUUGGUUUUAACCUGCAAAACCUUUUGGCCACUUCUCAGCUAUUCCAAGCACCAUCAAUUAGCUUAGAAGUGGCUAAACCAUAGAACGAGGGUAUGGUGCCUUGUCCCCUAAACAACAAACGUUUCAGGGAUCAUAUUUCCACCACAAUUUAGUAAGCUAGAAAUCAAAACACAAGUCGCAAUAAACUUGAGAGAAUGAAUUAGACUAAAACAUCUUCACGGAAACUCCAAUGAAUAACAGUUAAAAAACCGAAACAGAACAGUUUAGUUUCUUAUGCAAGUGCACAUAUCAUGAUCUAUACCCAAAAAGAGGAUCUAUGUGAACUAUUGUCAAACAAAUUCAACUUCACAAGUUUUUGAAUUCCACUUUGUUCUGAUCAUAAGGUGGCAUGGCAACAAGAGCCUGUAACUUCAUCUCUUCGUUGUCGCAAAAGCUGUGUAUAAUCAGUCACCUUUCCAUGCUUCACUAAGGAGUCUCAUAUGUUCCCACAACAAGGAUCUAGGUAAAAGUCUGGAAAUCAAUUUCACAAGUCCUUGAACCCCUAGGGAACUUUGAAACUUCCAAGCAUAAGGUGGCAAUAGGAGGCAAUAACUUUUUCUCUUUUUCAUCACAAAAGCGAGUACAAAUAGUCACCUUAUUCAAAGCCUUGCCGUGCUUCACCAAGUACUUUGCCAUUUCCAUCUCCUUUGGACACCCCUUGAGCUCCCGUAGGCAUAUAGUCUUGAGGUGUGAAAACAAACAAACAGGCACCAACUCUGGUGCAUCCCAUCCGUGAACAAACUCGUCCUCAUUGUCAUCAGCACAAAACUUGGUGUUCUAAAUACGUUUAAAGUAUGUCAGUGAAUCUUAAAGCUUUUGAAAUUGUAUAUACCAAUAAAAUUUGGCAUAGAGAUCAUUCCAGAUAUACCUACAUUUUCAAACUCAAGAUGUUCCAAAUUCGGUGAUAGGUUGAGCAAAGUUGGAAGUGACUGCAAACAGUAACAUGUUUGAACUUGUAGCUCCAAGUGCUUCAAAUCAUUUAAAGUAGACAGAAGAUGAUGAUCUCUAAUGUCAAGAACCUACAGAAAUGAUGAAGUAAGUUAGCAUUCUAUCAAGAAAGGAUGAAUUAGAGAUUUCAAUGUCAUCAUAAAGCAUUCCAUUGAGAAAUUGCAGCACAGAAUUAAAUAGAGCAUACUAACCCCCAAGAUUGCAGCUGAAACUGACAGAUAUUUAACAUUAACAAUUCCUGCAACGAGCCUGCGCACACGACCAGCAAGGCCAAGGAAACAAUGAAGGUUGUGAAGCUCAUCCACAUCUAAGAAAUCUAUCUUGGCUUUCCUCAGAUAUUUGGCAUCCUUCACAGAAUAGCUCACCAGCAAGUCAUAGUAGAUAUCCAACUCUUCAAGAUUUGGAGCAUCAGCACUAACAAAUAUUCGGCAAUCAUAACUCACAACAUUACUAGAUCUUGUAUCAAACUUAUGCACAAUGAAGCUAAUCUGCAGCCUUUUCAGCUUAGGUCCAGAGAUAUUUAUAUUAUAAGCCGACACAUCGUCAAGUUGUCCAUCUAAAAUCAAAUGUUCAAGUGCAGGGCAGCAAGAAAAGAGCUUCUCCAUCGAGCCCGAAUCAGGACACCAAACUGUAACAUGGAGGAACUUAAGACAAGGAAAGCAUGUUGCGCCGGGAGUUACAGCACUAACAUCUUGAGACAGCAACAGCUUCAAACUCACCAAUGUGUUACACAAGAAAAGGCUUCUCGGAAUCUCAAAAUGUGGCUCUGUAGGUGUCUCCACACAAAGAUCAAGUUCCACAACAUUCUGCUUUACAGCAGUGGAAAUCCAAUCAUAAAUAAGAGAAGCAUCAGACGUCAUAGUAGUCUUGAGAUGGAAUCUAUGAAUGUUUAUGGGGCUACGUAACGAAAGUAGACCAUUCACAAACUGUGCAAAACUACUUGCCACAUAUCUUAGUGGGGAUGGUAAAGUACGAUUAACAUAAUCCAUGUGAUACUUUUGUUCAUCCAAAUCAAGAAUGGGAACAGAAGACCACACAUUCUUCCAUCUGUGAGAUAAAACACUGGUCUGCACAGCCUCUCUGGUUGUACACAAGGAAAGUAUAUGGCAAAGAAUAGCAUCUGGCAACCCACUAAUCCUAUCUUCAAUUCUUAAUUUUUGAAGCUUUGAUCUUAAAGACAUUUUUCACCAUGUGAAACCACUCUGUAACAUAAAAUGUGGCCUCUGGUGAAAACCCAAUUACAACAAUGUAACUACAAUGGUUUAACUUAAGAAGCAUAUUGGUAAGAAAUAGUUUCAAGAUUCUAAUUUUCUUGCAAAGUACUGGACUUUCUUGUUAGUUAAAGUAAAGAAGAGGACCAACGUAAGAGUAAAGAGUAUAAAAGAUUUCGAACAAGGUACCUGAAUGAUUAUGACAAGUGGAGCUAAUUGGGCAGUUCUGGUUUCAGUGCACUAAAAUGGUCUGCGGAGUUUGGUUGCUGAGGAACACAGAAAGGACCGAGGAAGGGAGUAGACGACAUGUCGCUCAUCUGUUCCUCAUGGCAUCUUCAAAGAACUUGUCUUUUGUCUGUUUUAUCCAUGAAGCAUGUCCAAAUUUCAACAAUGAGCUCUUAAUGACAUUUUGAUGAAAUUGUUUAUUUCUUAGUUGACAAACUUGAGAACGGUGUUAUCUGUGGUUAUUGUAGGACUUGUAUGUUCUGUAAAGAAAACAAACUUUGAUCCAAGUCAGCAAAAAGAAUACAUACACGGACACUGGGAAACUUGAUAGUUAGCAAACAAGAAGACAGAAAUUAAAACACUUGCAUAGUUACAUGCACAAGAGUGCAUACAAGGUUAUCUUCCCAAAAGAACAAUCUGUAUCAAAUGAUUGUCUGAAAUUGAAUUUUACAAGUCUUGGAACCCCUGGGGAACUUUGAAAAUUUCGACCACAAGGCAAUAGGAGACUGUAUCUCGAUCUCUUUGUCUUGACAGAAGUGAUUAGAAAUAGUCACCUUAUUCAACGCCUUGCCAUGCUUCACCAAGUACAUUGCAACUUCCAUGUCAUCUGGACACCCCUGAAAAUCCCAUAGGCAAAUAGUCUUGAGGUGUGAAAUCAAACAAACAGGCACAGACUCUGGUUCGUCCCAUCCAGGUUCAAGCUCACCCUCAUCGACAUUGGCAUACAUCUGUUUCCUAUUCCGUGAUAUCUUCAGAUGCACCAAAUGUGGAGAUAUUUUGAGCACAGUUGCCAGUGAUUGCAGACUUCGACAAGUAUGAAGCUGUAGUUCCAAGUAGUUCAAAUUAUUAAACAUAGGCAGAAGAUGUUGAUGUCCAACGUCAAGGGCCUAUAGAUAUGAUGAAGUAAAUAGGUCAGUCAACAAUAGCAAAACCAAACAGUUCCUUGUCAUCAUCAGGUCACAUUCAUUUGAGAAAUUCCAGCACAUAGACAAAAAGGGUGUCAAACACUGCAUGAACAAGUAGCAUACUUACCGUCAGAAGUGGAGUAUUAACUGUCAGGUACUUAGCAUCACAAAUUCCAGCGAAAAUCUGACGUAUGCGAUCAGCUAGGCCAAGGAAACGAUCAUGCUUCUUAAGCUCUUGCACACAAAAGAAUCCUAUAUUCGCUUUGUGUAGACAUUUGGCGUUCUUCAAAGAAAAGCUCACCAGAGCAUCAAAGCAGAUAUCUAUCUCUUCAAGAUUUGGAGCAUCAACAUUAACGAAAAUUUGGCAUACAAAGUCAUUAGCAGCAAAAUUCAUACCAUACUUACGGACAUUUAGCUCAAUUUGUAGUCUCUUCAGUUUGGGUGCAGAUAUGUCAAGAUUGAAAGCUGUUGUGUAUAUAAGCUCUCCAUCUAUAAUCAGCUCUUCAAGCACAGGUAAACGAGAAAAGAGCUUCUCCAUUGAGUCAGAAUCAGGACAACGAACUGUAACAUGAAGGAACUUGAGGCUCGGGAAACAAUUUGAACUAGUAGGAGUCAUGACCCUAAUAUUUUCAUGCAGCCACAACUUGAAAUGGACCAAUGUGCUGCACAUGAAAAGGCUUUUGGGGAUCUCAAAACAUGGGUCUGAAAGUGUGCUGACAGUAAGAUCAAGCUCCACAACAUUACGCCUAAUGGCAGUGGAAAUCCAAGCAUAAACAAGAGAAACAUCAUCCAUCCCCUUAGUGAAAAGACGGAACCUAUGAAUGUCUCCCGAGCAACGAAACAAAAGCACACGAGUCACAAACUGUGCAAACCAAUCCGGGUUAUCUUCGGGAUAUAUAUGCGUAUCAUGUUCUUCCUCAUCUAAAUCUAGAACGGGAACAGAAGCCCACACAUUCUUCCAUCUAUGAGACAAAACACUGGUCUGUACAGCCUCUCUGGUGAAAAGGAAGGAGAGAAUGUGGCAAAGAACUGCAUCUGGCAUCCCACUGAUCCUAUCUUCAGUUCUUCCUUUGUGAUGCACUAAACUUGAAGCCAUUUAUGAUGUGAACUUCUCUGGCAAAAACCCAAAUACAACAAUGUGAAUUCUGUGGCAUAAACUGAGAAAAGUUAUGAUCUUUGGAUGAUCACCCCCACCAUCAAACUGGAGACAUUGAUUUUCACUCCUAGGAAACAAUUUAACACGAAUUCCUCAGAAAAUCUAUCACCAUUGUAAAGAACAUAACUUUCUUCUUAGAAUUUGUAUUUCUUUGUCAGAAUUUUUCUAAAAGUUGAUUACUUUAACACAAACUCAUAAGAAUUAAAGUUCAUGAAUCCUAGAUGUACAAACGAGUAAAGAACUCAGAAACAUAGAGCAAGUACCUGAAGUAGUGGACCCAGUUCUCGCUUCAGUGCUCUGAACUGGUUUGCCGUGUUUGGUUGCUCAGAAACAAAGACAUACAAAGCAACAACAACAAACUUCAGUUGUUUGUGAUAACUGACUCUUGAGAUUAUGAUUCCUCGUUCUGCUUAUUACUCGGGUCUUUUUUAUGGUUUUAAGUGGUGGACCCGUAGCCCGUAGAAGCCCAUUACGGCCCAGAUCGACAUUGCCAAUAACAAGCUAUGUUCAUAAUCUCAAUCCAUCUAGGUUCCUGCUGCAAGGGUUUGUGGUGUGAUUUUUCGAGGUUGCAUAUAUGAUCGAUUUUCUCAUACUCAGUAUUCUCCUCUCUUUUAGUUCUUGUUCCUAACGAAAAACAGAGGACUAACAAAAGAGUUAAGGUAGAAAAGAUUUCGAAAACAGAAGUACCUGAAUGGUUAUGACGUAUGAGAAGUGGAGCUAAUUGGUUAAAUAAGUAGGAGCAGCCAGGGCUGAGACGGACAGAAGAAAAUAAACCACAAAAGGAAAUAGAAGAUAGCAAUACUUAAAAAUAGACAUGCACAUAAAUAAACUCAUGUUCCAUCCCAGAGAAACAUCCAUUGAAAAUGAUCGUCUUUAACCCCUUGGGAACUGACAAGUUAGAAAUCAGGAAGACCGAAAUUAAAACACUUGACAAUCUGUAUCAAAUGAUUGUCUGAAAUUCAAUCUCACAUGUCUUGGAACCCCUUGGAAACUUUGAAACAUUCGACCAUAAGGCAGUAGCAGACUGUGACUUCAUCUCUUUGUUUUCACAAAAGGGAGUAUGAAUAGUCACCCUAUUCAAAGCCUUGCCAUGCUGCACCAAGUACUUGGCGACUUCCAUGUCAUCUGGACACCCCUUGAAAUCCCAUAGGCAAAUAGUCUUGAGGUGUGAAAUCAAACAAACAGGCACCGUCUCUGGUGCAUCCCAUUCCGGUUCAACCUCAUCCUCAUCGACAUCAUCAGAAUAGUUAUUCUCCUAGAAAUGAGUUAAAAUGAAAUCUUUCUAAAUUACACAGGUAUCAUGUAAGGGUAGUUCCGGAUAUACUUACAUUGGCAUACAUAUGUUUCCUUUUCAGUAAUAUCUUCAGUUGCUCCAAAUGUGGUGAUAUCUUGAGCACAGUUGCCAGCGAUUGCAAACAUCGACAAGUAUGAAGCUGUAGCUCCAAGUAGUUCAAAUUAUUAAACGUAGGCAGAAGAUAUUGAUGUCCAAUGUCAAGGGCCUAUAGAUAUGAUGAACUAAACAGGUCAGUCAACAAAUAGCAAAACUAAACACAUCCUUGUCAUAACGUUGAUGUAGAUUCAUAUAGUUAACAUUCUAUGGGAAGUUCCAGCACAUGGAGGAAAAAAGCUAUUAACCACCACAAGAAAAGUAGCAUACUUACCGCCAACAAUGGAGCUUUUACUGUCAGGUACUUAGCAUCAUAGAUUCCUGCAAAAAUCUGAUGUAUGCGAUCAGCAAGGCCAAGGAAAUAAUCAUGCUUUUUCAGCUCUUCCACAUAAAAGAAAUCUAUCUUGGCUUUGCGUAGACAUUUGGCAUUCUUCAAAGAAAAGCUCACCAGAGGAUCAAAGCAGAUAUCUAACUCUUCAAGAUUUGGAGCAUCAACAUUAACGAAAAUUUGGCACACAUAAUUUACAAAGUUAGCAAAAUGCAUAUCAUGCUUAAAGACUCUGAGCUCAGUUUGUAGUCUCUUUAGUUUGGGUGCAGAUAUAUCAAGAUUGGAAGUUGUUGACUCUACAAAGUUUCCAUCUAUAAUCAGCUCUUCAAGCACAGGUAAACGAGAAAAGAGCUUCUCCAUUGAGUCAGAAUCAGGAAAAUGAACUGUAACAUGAAGGAACUUGAGGCUCGGGAAACAAUUUGAACUAGUAGGAAUCAUGACCCUAAUACCUCUAUGCAGCCACAACUUGAAACGGACCAAUGUGCUACACAUGAAAAGGCUUUUGGGGAUCUCAAAAGGUGGCACUGUACUUCUUUGGACAGUAAGAUCAAACUCCACAACAUUACGCCUAAUGGCAGUGGAAAUCCAAGCAUAGAUAAGAGAAACAUCAUCCAUACCAUUAGUGGAAAGACGGAACCUAUGAAUGUCUCCCGAGCAACGAAACAUAAGCACACGAUUCACAAACUGUGCAAAACAAUCCUCCGGGUUAUAUAAUGGCUGAUUCAUAUCCGCAUCAUAUUCUUCCUCAUCUAAAUCUAGAACAGGAACAGAAGCCCAGACAUUCUUCCAUCUAUGAGAUAAAACACUGGUCUUUACAGCCUCUGUGGUGAAAAGGGAGGAGAGAAUGUGGCAAAGAACUGCAUCUGGCAUCCCACUGAUCCUAUCUUCAAUUCUUACUUUGUGAUGCAUUAAAUUUGAAGCCAUCAAUGUGAAUUCUGUGGCUUAACUUGUAAAAAGUUAUGAUCUUUGGAUGACUAUCCUCACCAUCAAACUGGAGACAUUAAUUUUCACUCCUAUGAAACAAUUCAACACAAAUUCCUCAGGAAAUCUAUCACCAUAUUGUAAAGGGCAUAACUUUCUUCUCAGAAUUUGUAUCUUUGUCAGAAUAUUUCUAAAAGUUUAUUACUUUAACACAAACUCAUAAGAAUUAAAGUUCAUGAAUCCUAGAUAUACAAACGAGUAAAGAACUCAGAAACAAAGAGCAAGUACCUGAAAUAGUGGACCCAUUUCUCGCUUCAGUGAUCUGAAGUCUGAACCGGUUUACCGUAUUUGGUUGCUUAGAAACGAAGAAAUACAAAGGACGAAGGUGUGUGAUAACUGAGACUGAGGUUAUGGAGAAUCGUUUCAAAAAAUAAAAAUAAAAAAAGGUAAGGAGAAUUGGGCUAGGCGGAGACUUAGGCUGGCUAGGCGGAACCUAGUUGGACUGUGCCUGCGCCAGUUGGUUGGUCCACUUUAAAGGGGGAAAAAAACAAACUGAGGGACUAUCUCUUCCUGUGAGAAAGCAAUGUCAUUGCUUACAAUUUGCAUUCUUUAUAGGAUAGCUCACCAAGAAAUCGAACCUCAUCAGUUCAUAAUUUACAGAACUAUUAGCAGCACAUCUGAUUUUGAUGCAGAGAUUUCUCUAAGCAGAAUCGUUCCGACGUCCCCAAGCUUUCCUUCCUAUCUAUAAUAGUGCACGUUUGCAUUACACCUCAAUUUUCAACACUGUACUAGACUCAUGUAGACUGCCUUAAUUUAUACUAAUACUGAGCCAUGUUUAGUGGUGCACUGGACUAAUUUUCAACUUCAUGAUAAUUUCUUGUAUCAAUCUCUUCAUGCUUCCUAUUUAUCAACCAGGAAAUAAUCGUUGUAAUUCGCAGAAAACCAAGAGCCUUGAGAGAUAAAGAAAUUGAUGAGGAGGAGGAAGAUCAGAAGAGCUGAAAUCAAUCUUAUCUUGGGAGAGCAAGUGAGAGAGGAAGGAGGAGAGAGAUGGUGUUGGCAAGGGGUGUCAGAAUGGAGUACCCACGCUAAGACCCCUAAGGAGGACAAAUGAAAACACAGGUCCAACUUAAGCCCAUUUAUUUUAGUACCUAUUGACACCAAACAAAGGAUUAGCCAACUUGGACUCCUUAUUUAACACAGUCCUAGUUAGUACUAGGAAACAAACAUGCACAGAGUCCUCAAGUACAUGAAACAACUGUGAUCCAAGUGAAAACAGUCCCAGACUUUCAUCUGAAGCUGAGCAAACAUAUUAAGUCACACAUUACGCAAAGCAACUAUGGAAACUCCUCAGAGAUUACGUCGUAAAAUACCAUCACUUAAUAAGUAGGUGCAGCAGGGCUGAGAUGGAUGGAACAAAAAAAACCAUAAAAGAAAAAAAAGAAGACAGCAAUACUCAAAAACAGACGUACACAUAAAUAAACUCACGUUCCAUUCCCAGAGAAAUAUCCAUUGAAAANNNNNNNNNNNNNNNNNNNNAAAAAANAAAAAAAAAAAAAAAAACCCGGGGAAACUCGGGAAGUUAGAGAUCAAAAAGGCAGAAAUGAAAACACUUGCUUAGUUAAAUGUACAAAAGUGCAUAUGAGGUUAUAUUCCCAAAGAAGAAUCAAACCAUUGUCUCAAACUGAAUCUUACAAGUCUCGGAACCCCUGGGGAAGUUUGAAAAUUUUGACCAUAAGGCAAUAGUAGACCGUAGCUCCAUCUCUUCGUUACUGAAGUGAUUAUAAAUAGUCACCUUAUUCAAAGCCUUGCCAUGCUUCACCAAGUACAUUGCAACUUCCAUGUCAUCUGGACACCCCUGAAAAUCCCAUAGGCAAAUAGUCUUGAGGUGUGAAAUCAAACAAACAGGCACAGACUCUGGUGCAUCCCAUCCGUGUUCAAGCUCGACAUCAUCACAGUAGCUUUUCUGCUAGAUAUGAUUUGAAAUAAGUGAGUAUAUUGAAACCUUUCUAAAUUAUACCGGUAUCAUUUGGCAAAAGGGUAGUUCCAGAUAUACUUACAUUUCCAUAAAAAAUUUCCGUAAAGGCUGAUAUCUUGAGAUGUUCCAAAUUUGGUGAUAUCUUGAGCAGAGUUGUCAGUGAUUGCAAAUAGCGACAAGUUUGAAGUUGUAGCUCCAAGUGGUUCAAAUUACCAAAUGUCAGCAGAAGACUGUGAUAUCUAAUGUCAACAGCCUACAGAUAUGAUAAAGUAAACAAGUAAAUCAAAUACUCAGGGCAAAAAUAAAGAUUUGCUCGACAAUCAUACAGUAUUCCCUUAAGAAAUUACAGGACAUACAGAAAAAGGUUAUCAACCAUUGAGGGAACAAGUUAGAGAAAAUACUUACCGAAAAAAUUGUAGAUGAAACUGUCAGGGAUCUGGCAUGACAAAUAUCUGCAAAAAGCUGACAUAUGCGAUCUGGGAGGCCAAGAAAAUAAUCACGGUCCUCAAGAUUUUCCGUAUGAAAAAAUAUCUUGGCUUUCCUCAGACAAUUGGCAUUCUUCAAAGAAUAGCUCACCAGACAGUCAUACUCGAUAUCUACCUCUUCAAGAUUAGGAGUAUCAGCAGUAACAAAAAUUUGGCACUCAUAAUUCCAAGCAACUGGUACAAUGAACCAAAUAUGCAGUCUUAUUAGUUUAGGCGCAGAUAUAACAAGAUUGUAAGCUGUCGCACCUGCAACGUCUCCAUCAAUAAUCAGCUCUUCAAGUGCAGGGAAACAAGAAAAGAACUUCUCCAUUAAGUCAGAAUCAGGAUGCUGAACUGUAACAUGGAGAAAUUUGAGAGACGGGAAACAAUUUGAGCUAGGAAUCGUGGCACUAAAAUUUUCGCACAGCAACAGCUUCAACCUCAUCAAUGUGCUGCACGUGAAAAGUAGCAUUGGGAUCUCAAAAUGUGGGCGUGUAGGUUUGCCAACCCUAAGAUUAAGUUCCACAACAUUAUGCCUAAUGGCAGUGGAAAUCCAAGCAUCAAUGUGAGAUGAGUUCAUCCCACCACUAAUCACAUUAAGACGGAAACUGUAAAUGUUUGCUUCACCACGAUUGAAAAGUAGAUCAUCCACAAACUCUUCAAAAUAACUUCGUUCAUAUCUUUUCCGUGAAUUGACACAAUGUUUGUAAAAUUUCAUUUCAUCCAAAUCUAGAACGGGAACAGAAGCCCAGACAUUCUUCCAACUAUGUGAUAAAACACUGGUCUGGACAGCCUCUAAGGUUGUAAGGAAGGAGAGUAUAUGGCAAAGAACUGCUUCUGGCAACCCACUAAUCCUAUCUUCAAUUCUUCGUUUGUGAUGCACUAAACUUGAAGCCAUUUAGUAUGUGAACUUCUCUGGUAAAAACCCAAUUGCAAUUUCUUCUUAGAAUUUGUAUUUCGUUGUCAGAAUUAUCUAAAAGUUGAUCACUUUAACACAAACUCUUAAGAAUUGAAGUUCAUGGAUCCAAGAUAUACAAAAGAGUAAAGAACUCAGAAACAAAAGAGCCUCCGAAAGUACCUGAAAUAUGAACUGAACUGUGGCACUAGUUAGAAACCCAGUUACAAAGCUCAACUUGAAUCAAGUCGACUGCAUUUGGGCUUCGGUUAUAUAUUCAUAUGAGAACGUAUAAAAUAGUAAAGAUUAACCGAGAAGAAUAGAGAUUUAGCAAGUACCUGAUAGGCUGAUAUAACCGUGAAGCUAGUUCUCGGCGGCCGUGUUUCAUCGCUGAGAAAGUAGGACAAGGAAACUGCGAGUUCUCCAAGUAGGUUAAUAGAAUAAUAGGUGAUCAAUGAGAGUCGGUGUGGGUAAGUAUGAAAACAACGACAUGUAGCUUUACUUUUAUUCCGGAAGGUUUUCGGCAAAGUAAAAUAUCGACGAUAAUUAAAAUUUCGAUCGUUUAAAAAUUGGAUGUUUAGAUAGAAAUAUUCGGAAAGUAUUGAUAUUGAUAAAAUUUCAAGGAAAAAUAGGUGAAAAUUUAUAUGGAUAUAUAUAUAUAUAUAUUAAAAUAUGCUUGUAUUGGACAAAAGGUGUCAUUAGCAGGGUUAGUUGAGGAGUAUUUCGAGUCCCUGUGCAACCAGGUUCGAUUCUACAAAGGUGAAUAUCGUGAAAAUUUCGUCAAGUUUCGAGAAUCUUGAACGAGAAGGUGUUGGUAUGUUUUGAUUAUAUCGGGAGGCUGAAAAAACGAAAUUUUCGGUACACGACGUGUGUACUUACUUUUUUUUUCCGAUAAACAAAAUAAGGAAACUUACAAACUAAAACCUCUACUACAACGUGAGUUUAAGAUCAAACAAAAAGGCCGAAUUGGCUUUUGGAGGUAAAGUAUUAGACCAACUGCCAAGAGAAAUUUUAUGACAUAUAUCAGCUAAAGCAUCAACCAAGAAAUUUGUCUCACGUUAAACAUGAGAAAAUUCGAUUUCUGCAAAUUGAGUAGCCAACAUCUUGAUAUCUUUGAUCAAAGUGGAGAUCCGCCGGGGGGUGUUAAUCUUGUUGUUGAUGCAGUCAAUUAGAACUUUAGAAUCACCCUCGACUUUGAUAUGGUUAGCUUGAUGGAUUAAGGCAGCUUUGGAGCUUUAAGGGCGAAAGCCUCGGCACAAAGCACAUUUGAAUGUCCUAAAACUUUUGUUGAAGCAAUAAUAGGGUAGUCGUGAGAAUCUCUGAUCACAAAACCUGUAUAAGCUUUUUGAUCAUGGAUAACAGAAACAUCAAAAUUCAGUUUUAAAAAAGAAGGUAGCGGAGGGUGCCAUUUAAUAAGUCUAGAACAAGACCUUUGAUUCUUAAAGUGAACUUGUGAAGCAUUAUUCUAGAUCAUGAAAGCAACAGUAUAGAAAACCUGAAUCGUUGUUUUGUAGAUAUUUCUGAAAAUUAAGUUAUUUCUAGCAUGCCAGAUAUUAUAACAGAUAAAAAGAACUUUGUUCAACGAAUCUAGAUCAUCAAAAUGUUUUGAAGCACAAAGAGAGAGCCAAGAAUAAAAAUCAGUAGAGGGGAUAGUAAUACGAUAAUACCAGCAUAGUUCCAUACCUCUUUAGCAAAACAACAAUAAUGAAAAAGAUGAUUCGUACUUUCAAGUUCAUAAUGACUGUGAGCCAAGAACGGUCUUUGAAGCUGAUGAGAAAAAAUGAUAUCUCUAGUUUUCAAUCUUCCUCUAAUUAGACUAAAUAUGUGGACUUGAUAUGUGGAUUAGGAUAGGGCAAAUUACAUAUAAGUCCACUUUAAGAUAUUUGUUCCCACAUAAGUCCACCCUAACAUUUUUACCCAUAUAAGUCCACCCAAGCUUAAAUAAGGUUUUGGUUUAAGUAUUGAAGUUCAACAUAAUUACAGACUGCUAUCCAACAAAAAAAAUUAGAUUUUCUCUUUUAUAUUUACAAAAAUGCCACUAAUGUAAAAAGUCAACAACCACUCUUCUCCCCGGAAAAGUCUCCGGCAGACCUCCGGCGAGGUCUCUGAUGGACUCCGGCCGACCUCCGGCAAUGUCUCCGGCUGAAUUCCGAUGAGGUUUUCAACGGUUACGAAAGCUACUACCGCCAGCAAGAAAAGCUACUAUCCCUAGCUACAAAACUACUACCACAGACUAUAAAUGCUACUACCGCCAGCAAGAAAAAUUACUAUCCUUAGCUACAAAAACUAUUAUCCCUAGCUAGAAAAGCUACUACCACAGAUUAGAAAAGCUACUACCACCGACUAUAAAAGCUACUACCGCCAGUAAAAAAAGCUACUAUCCCGAACUACAAAAGCUACUAUCCCUAGCUAGAAAAGCUACUACCACCGACUAGAAAAGCUACUACCACUGACUAGAAAAGCUACUACCACCAGCAAGAAAAGCUACUACCAUCGAAUAGAAAAGCUACUACCACCGACUACAAAAGCUAUUACCACCAGCAAAAAAACUACUACCACCAGCAACAAAAGCUACUCCAUCAACUAGAAAAGCUACUAUCCCUAACUACAAAAGCUACUACCAUACAUAAUAAAAUCUACUACUACCAAGUAAUACAAAAUAUACUAUUACAGUGUCAAAAAUAUACUAUCGUAAUGACAAAAAUAUACUACUACUGUGUUGGAAAUAUACUAUCAUAACCAUAACCAGUCAAUUGUGAGCUUGUUGAGCGUUGAGCAUGUCAAGAGGACGGUUCCAUUCUCGGUAGAGCCUUCGUUUCCCGACGCCGUCGAUGCCAGCAACGACGGGUUUAUCUAGAUCGGAUCUAGAGUUGAAGGCGCUAGAUGGUUGAGCAGAUCAAAUCAGAAGGCGUCAUCGUCGAUCCGGAGGCUUCGUCGUUGGGCCGGCGACGUCGAGGUCGAAUCAGAACAAGUCAAGGUCAAAUCAGAAGAGGCCGAGGUUGAGGCCGAAUUAGAAGUCUGGAUCGGAUCUAGAGGUGAAGGCGCUAGAUGGUUGAGCGGAUCAAAUCAGANNNNNNNNNNNNNNNNNNNNNNNNNNNNNNNNNNNNNNNNNNNNNNNNNNNNNNNNNNNNNNNNNNNNNNNNNNNNNNNNNNNNNNNNNNNNNNNNNNNNNNNNNNNNNNNNNNNNNNNNNNNNNNNNNNNNNNNNNNNNNNNNNNNNNNNNNNNNNNNNNNNNNNNNNNNNNNNNNNNNNNNNNNNNNNNNNNNNNNNNNNNNNNNNNNNNNNNNNNNNNNNNNNNNNNNNNNNNNNNNNNNNNNNNNNNNNNNNNNNNNNNNNNNNNNNNNNNNNNNNNNNNNNNNNNNNNNNNNNNNNNNNNNNNNNNNNNNNNNNNNNNNNNNNNNNNNNNNNNNNNNNNNNNNNNNNNNNNNNNNNNNNNNNNNNNNNNNNNNNNNNNNNNNNNNNGAGAGAGAGAGAGAGGAAAGUGAAGGAUUCGUGUGAGAGAAUGGAUUUGUAGGGAAUGAGGGUAUUUUAGGAACAUCAUAAAAGUAAAAUAACAGGUUUAGGCUUAAAAGUGGACUUAUAUGGGUGAAAAUAUUAAAGUGGACUUAUGUUACAAAAAAUGUUAAGAAAGUGACUUAAGUGAAAUUUUCUAUUUGAUGUUUCGACCAAACUCUUAUUCAUUACUUGUGUAUUAAGGUCAUCUAUCCUAAUAAGCACUUGUAACCCAAGUAGGAGCCAUAACAUUCGCAAGGUCUUUAUUGAUAGGUUGAUGAGUACUGAAUUCAUAUGACGCUGAUGUCAGCAUCUAGAAAGUUGACGUCAUCACGAUGUCCGACUGAUACAAGACGGAAAAAACCAGCAUCCCGUUGUCUAGAUCAUCACGAUUUUCGGGCAUACGAAGUGGAAACCUUAAGCCAAUGCGGUAAGGGUUUACUACUCUCGUUGUGAAAAUCGGCUUGCACUCAUAUGUUAGUUAAGGUCUACAGGUCGCAUGCAGUUUAUAAUGUUCCUAGAGGGGUAAGAUGCUUCCUCUAAUCAAAAUAUCUUUCACAAAAGAAAAAACAAAUGUAUAUGCAUGAUAGUUCAUGCAUGGUUAUAAAUAGCCAAAACUACACCGAUUACUUGCAAAGCUAUGUUACAAGAAUUUAAUGUUUUGCCUGACAAUUCUCUUGAGACAUUAACCUCAUUUUUUUUAUCACAUUUUGCAUUCUCCAAAGAAAUAAGAGCUCACCAUGAAAUCACCAUCAGCAUUAACCAGAACUGAAAACUUAUUAAUUUCAGAUGCAUGGACCUUGAUACUUAUUUGAAGCCUUUACAGUUUACUUUGGUACAUAGAUAUCAAGACCAAACAGACAGAAUCCUCUACCCAAGGAUUACAGCUAUACUACAAAAAAAAAAAAAAAAAACUAUACUGAAGCCAAAACUCGGAAGGACUAACAUAUGCCCUCACUACAAGGUGGUAAACAAUAAACACCAUUAAUAUAAAAACCUGGCCAGCAAUGGAUGAGACAGAGAGAAGAAAACGUUGAAGAAAAUAGAAGUUGGCAGUUAAAGACACAAGGCACAUAAGUAAACUUAUGUUCUAGUGAUUUAGUCCCAAAAGAAACAUCCAUGUCAAAUGACUGUUUUGAAUCCUCAGUAAACUUAGAGGUUAGAAAUCUACCAAAAAGAAAACAGAAAGUAAAGCAGUUAUAUUUACAAGUGAGCGUAAUAUUACAUUCCCAUUCCCAGAACGAGGAUCCAAGUCAACUGAUCAUCCGAAAUUCAACUUCACAAGUCUUGGAACCCCUCGGGAACUUCGCAAAUCUCAUGUAAUCAACUUUGUUUUGCCACACUUACGAGAGAGCAAAUCUCACUGCUUACAAGUUGCUUUCUAAUUUGCAUUAAAGAAAAUAUCUCAUGUUCCAUUCCCACAGAAAUAAUAUGCCUAUUGAUGACAGAAAUUAGCAAGAGGGCAGAUAGUUACACGUACAAGACUGCAUAUAAGGUUAUAUUCCCCAAAGAAGAAUCUGUAUGAAACGAUUUUCUGAAACUGAACUUUACAUACUCUCAUGUAAUCGAAAAACUACACAGAAAACCGCAUAAUUCUCAUUGCUAAAUGUCAAUAUCUCAGAUCAGUGUUCCAAACUAUCAACCCAAAUCCCCAACAUACUCUUAACUCGUAUCCCCAACAUACUCUUAACUCGUAUCCCCAACGUACACUCUUAAACAACUAAUACCCGGACUAGACCUGGGCAAGCUUUCUCUUGUUACCUCCAGCCCUUUCCAAACUUUCUUUGAUAUAGGAAUAAGCAUUUCCCAUACUUUCUUUCGGCUGCGCUGGCAUGUUCAAGGGCAUCAACGAAAUCUCUGUUUCUUCAACUUCCAUUAUAUCUCCAGAUUCUCUGUUGUAAAAUAAAAUCAGAAAUCAUAUUAAGCAGGACAAAAGAUGCUCCAAAUUUUAUUUAAUUCUAAGAGCAAACCAAAAGAGGUGAUAAAGCCAUAGGUUCCUGAAGGAGAAAGUAAAAACCCACCUUUUUUCUUCUUCUUGUUUUAUCUGGUUCACGGGGGUAGCAAACCCUUCUUCUUUAGUUGGCACCAAGUUCUUCUUUGACUGGAUCAGGCAAAAAGAGGAAGAACACUAAGAUUAAGUGCACAAGUAUAGCAAAAACAACUAUUAGCAACAAAUCACCAAUAGCUAGGCUGCUGAGGUUAUGAAAGUCAUCAUUUACAAAACUCGUACAUUCUAACAUCCCAUCAACUACUUGAAUACGAACAAUCUUUUUGAACCACCCGCCAAACAAAAGCAAACAGUGUUGUAUUCACAAAAGGGAGACAAAGAGCACACAAUAGAAGAGUAGCAAGUGCUUCAGGAAAGUGCCAACAUCAUUCAAUUUAUCAAAAACCUCAUCUCAUUUGCAUGGGGAAAAAGAGUCGGAGCUUGCUUAGUUUAUAGAUUUGCCAAUAAAUUUGGAGGAAAAGGUCAGAGAAAACACUAAAUUACUCGACGAGUCGUUUAUAUUGGAAAAAUCAAAUAUGGCUCUAAAACUAAUGUAUAAUCGAAGAGAAUUGAACAAGAUGUCAUGGUUUUAAUCAGACUAACAACAAAUGUGCCUAACAACAACGACAAGAAUAAAGGAGGGACAUGUACAUUACCGGUUGGUCCUUAUUAGCAUGAACAACCAUAUCCUCCUCCUCCUGUGUCUGUCAAAAUAUAUAAUAAAGAGAAAAGUUACAAAGCUGAAGCAAUCAAGUAAGAGGGUCGGGGCCUGGUGGUGCUCACCUUUGCUUUCCAGUACUCACGAAAACUUGCACUCUGAAGGGCCGCCUCCACUGUGUCCAAAUUAUCGAGCCUGCUGCAGCACCUUUCGAUAUACUCGCUCACUCUGUCCAGGAAAAACAUGAUGCCGUUGAAAGACGAACUGAAUCUCCGAAGGAGGGGAAUCAUCAAUUCCAGGAUCGCCUCCUCCUCCCCUUGUUUCACACUCAUUCCUUUCUCCUCCCGGGCCAGAUAUGACAGACGGUCCAUGCAUCUUUUUCUCGUCGUUGGAUCAUCUUUCAAAUGAUCUAUCUUUUUCUCCUCCUCCUUGGGCUUGGCCUCCUCCGUCAUAUCAUCUUCGGAAUCCGAUUCCUCUUCCUCUUCCUCUUCCGAACCCACAUCCGAAUCUUCUGGUUCAUCUUCAUCAGACCACUCAUCCCCCGAGCCGUCCUUCUUCUUGCCUUGUUUUUUAAAAUACUCAUCAACUUGUCUGACCAAGUUGACGUCAAUUUCUUUCCUGGAUUUAACAAGCUCUCGUCUGAUCGCAUUGGAGAUCUCGCCGAUCACUGACCCCCAAUAACACGGCAGAAAUCGACUGAGGAAGGAUUCGAUAAACCGCAUGAGAUGUUCUUCGUCUACCUCGAUCUUCACCCCACUCAAUUUCAGCCGCGCCAGCACGUCUUUGGGCUCCGGAUCGUUAAACACUAUCAUUGGUCUCCAAUACCCUAUCUCUUUUUCUCCCAAAGACAUUUUCUUCUUUCUUUCUUUCUCUAUUCCCCUCUCUCUGGUAUAUCCCCUCUCCUUUUUAUAGUCUCCCUACCUAUUGGUUUUAGGGUUUCUUUUGGGCUCAAGCCCAGGCUUCACUGCCCAAUUAUUAAUAAUUUUAUUAUUUUAAUUUCUAGACAGACCAUGAAAUAUUUCUUAUUGACUUUCCUAUCCCAAUUAUUAUUAGUUUUCUUUUUAUUCCUAGAUUUAAUGAGGAAACAGAUCAUGAAAUAUUUCUUCCCUUUCCUAUCGUACAUAAGGAAAUAAUUCCGGAACUUAAUUUUCCUUUCCUUCAUAGGAACGAAUCUAGAUAGUUAUCACCUUGAUUUUCUUUGCCCACAUAGGAAACAAGUCUAGCAAUGUUCCUUUCCUGUAAAGGAAACAGAACUACAAUUACUGUGCCUACAAAUAAGAGCCUUGGCCACAUUAUUUUUGCAUCAUCCAUAAAAAUUGUUGUAUGUAUUGUGCUGAGUCUCAGAGCAACUAUGAGGUAUUCGUUGAGACACUGUCCUGGUCCUAGUGACUGUGCUCUCAAGGUCAUUUAUGAGGGCUUUAGUACAGAUAAGAAAGCAGUUUGGGUCAAUGGACUUGAUCCAAAGACGGCGCGCCAAUCUGAACGACUUAAAGGAUAUUGCAUCUAAGCUUGGUUACAAAAUAGAAGGGACAAGCUUUUCGUAUAGAUCACUUGCAGCACGUGAGCUUGUCAACAUUAGUGCUGAUGAAGAUGUAGAGAUGAUGAUUAAGGAACUACCAGUUAUGUCAAAGGAGUUCGACAAAAACCGGAAGAAACUCCUACUAUUUUGUUUUGGAACUGCUGCAGACUCGGCCCCUCAGCCAUAUAUAUGCUAAAAGUUCUCAAGGCUAUAUAUGAACCUUCGAUCAUCUUUUUGAUCGAGACUCGGAUGUCAUCUAAAGCUAUCAAAGAAGUUUCUUCCAAACUAGGAUUCUACAAUGUUUAUGCAUGUUCUUCAACCAUAGGUGCAGUCGAUAAACCCAACUGCGUUGGGUUAGCUAUGUUAUUCAAAACAGACGUAGAUGUUGAAUUUUUAGAUAAGACAGAAAAUUAUCUUGAUUUCGUGAUUAACGUUAGUCCUACUGGUAAGAAGUGGAGGUUAACAGGAUUUUAUGGGCACCCAACAGUGAAGGCUCGCUCAUGGGAGUGGCUCCGAAAGUUAAAGGACAUUAAAGAUCUCCCUUGGAUAAUUUUUGGAGACUUCAAUGAAAUUUUAUCAAAAGAUGAGAAAAGUGGCGGGAGGCAAAAAAAAGAUGAGAAGUGGCAGGCUUUCGAAGAAGUCCGGAAAGAAUGCUUUCUUCAUGACUUGCCUUUUGAGGGUUGUAAAUCUACAUGGCAGAGAUGUAACAUUAAGCAGAGGCUUGAUAGAGGAUUGGCCACAGUGGAGUGGAAAGAUAUGUUUCAAUCUUAUAGGGUGGUGCAUUUGACGCAUGGAGGUGUCUCAGAUCACAUUCCUAUAGUGAUACAAACUGAUGGCCAAAAACAUAAAAAGAAGAAUAUUAAUGCUCUACGUAUUGCGAUGGACGAGGUGUUUUCAUUUGUUAAACAGUUGCAAGCAUAUUAUUUUGAUAUGGAAGGGCUCCAGACGAUGUCAAAGAUUGUAAACAAUACACAAUUGAGCAUAAAACACCCAGAAUUCUGUUUCCAAAUAGCAAGGAUGAUUGCACCUCAAGUUAUUCAUGCAACGGACAUUGUAGUACACGACAAGACAACUGAUAUGGUUAAAUAUGAUCGACUGGUUAGUUUUAAAACUUGUGUCAACCUUCCUUUGGUAUUAUGGAAUUGCCUAGUCCUUGCCAAGCCGAGUUCAGAUGACGACUUUGAAGCUCCACCAGAUUGUCCAAGUGCUUGUUGUACACAGAUAAUCAUUGAAAACGAGGUUAAUCUUUCGGAUAAUCUUGCACAAGCAUGUAAACUUUUAUCUCUGAUUGCAGCUCGUGGAAGAAUAACUGGACAAGAGAUUAUAGACGAAAAGAUAGAUGAGCAAGUGAAAAGUUUGAUUACCUGGCUGAAAGACUCAUUUAGACAGGGCGAUGACAAAAAAUUUGUGAUCAGCAUUGGAGAUGCGGAAUACUUAGCUAAAUCUCGUAAAUUAAAAGAGAGUGCAUUAGUGGUUGGUCGUGCAGUCAUUCUUUACAACAUCAUGACAUCUCUAAUUAGGGAAAAGGAGAUAAAACGUAGAGGCUACAUAACAGAUCUCCGGGAGAAGCUUGAUGUUAAAAUCAAAGAUUACGUUCGUCGACUCUAUGUUGCACGGACACGGACACGGAUACGGCGACACGACACGGCGCGACACGGCGACACGGAAAAACCUAAAAACAGAGGAUCCGACACGGCAAAUAAAAUAUAUAUAUUUAUAUACUAAAUACAUAAAAAGAUACUAAAAUUUGACAUAAGGAUAAUCUUAUUAACAAAAUAGUGUUCUAAAUCCAUUACAAAUAACAAUCAAACAACUUCAAAUAGAUUUAGUAAGUGCAAAUGAAGAGAUGUUCAUAAAUGACAUAUGCAAUAGCCACAAUAGGCAGCAACUUUGGAGUUUGGACGUUUGGGCAACAACUUUGCACCGUCGGCAUCAACAACUAUAUCCUUAGUGACAUAUUUCCAAAGUGGCGCAGAUAAAUUUUCCUCCACAUUUGAAUCGACACUAGGUUCUGUAGAUGCUGCUGAAGUAGAAGUACUCAUCCUGUGCAAUUGAAUCACAAUAUACAAACUUUACACCACAUACCGUAAGUCCAUUUUUAGUCCAUGCAUAAAUUGAUUGAACAAAGAUGGAGAAUUCUCAGUCUAACACAUAAACAAAUUGAACCAUAGGUCAUCAUAACAUCACAUAUAUAUAUAUAGUAUAUAUGAUCCCGGAUCCACACCUGUGCACCCACCCACCGCACUUACCUCCUUCCUCCAUUUAGUCCAUUAUCUUCAUACAAAUAUACAUAUAUAUCAAAUUCUAACCCAGUAACCCACAGUCCCACAGACCCACACCCACACUGAUUUGAGGUCGAAAGACGAAAAGAAAAAGAAAGAAUUACUUACAGAUAUGAGGUCGGAGGCUGGAGAGGUCGCCGGUCUGAGGUCGUCGGUCGGAGCUGGAGGCUGGGUUCGGCUUGUGGUCGCUGGGUUCAACUUUUCUCACUCUGGGAACUAUUUGGGAAGAAUGGGAAGAAUGAGAGAAGUGCGGCUCCCUCUAGCUCUCUGUGUUAGGUCAGUUCAAUUUUUUUUUUAAAUGGUGAUGUGGCGUGUCGAAACCGUGUCGACGCCGUGUCGAGAAAUGGUCAACGUGUCGCAACCGUGUCGAAAAAGUUUGACUUUUCGGACACGCCACGUGGCGUGUCGGACGCCGUGUCGGGCCGUGUCGGUACGUAUCGGCGUGUCGGGGAGCGUCCGACGCUCCGACACUCCAUGGUUAGAGGUGUCCGUGCAUCAUACUUCGAGGGAAUAUUUUGGAUAAAGAGAAAGGUGAAACCACAUGUUUCCUAGAAGAACCUCUACAGUAUUUGCUCAAGACUUUGAAGUUGCAAGUGGCGGAUAGUUCUGAAUAUGAAGUUGAUAUCAACGCGGAUCUGGGGCUUGAAGAUAAAAGGCUUGAAGCGGAAACAAAAGUCAUGAUGUGGACAAAAGCCGAACCCUUGGUAGACGAAAUUAGGAAACGUGGCUCUGUUCAAAUAGAGAAGCUUGAAGAGGUUGUUAAGGAUUCAGUAAUAAUUGACAGACCGCUCACAGUUCAAUACCAGAUAAAAUUUCUGACAGAUCUGAAGAUUCUACGUUUGGACGUGAAUGGAAAUCUUGAAUUUCAAGAAGCAAACAAAAGCAGCGAUUUAAUAGUCAAAAGGCUUGAGCAGGCAGCACAUGUUGCCUUGAAAAGUAUUGAGAACAGCACGUCCAAGAAGCCUAUGAAGUUCCAGACAUACAAGAAUAAGAUAACUAGGGCAUACAAAAAAUCCCAGUAAAAAGCGGAGCGAUGUUAGUUAACUUGAAGCUAUUAAUUGUUUGUAAGAUGCUUUGAUGCUAUUAAUUGUUUGUAAAAUGCUUUGAUGCUAUUAAUUGUUUGUGUUUUUUCUUUUGAACUGUUGUGUGUUUCUAAUCUUCGAUUGAUGGAUGACAAGUAGUUU